rnacentral:lncRNA from 1 species
CUUCAGUAAGGAUUCUUACUUUUAGCUGAUUUCUAUCAGUUUUCGCCAGAUCCUAUCUGCAGGCUCUGGAGUGAGUGGGGUGUCCCAGUGGAUCUCAUCUUGGUCACCAGAAACUGUAGAGGAAGAAAGAUUAUUUCUCCUCCACCCUUUAUGGUGAGUACUUGGGCAACACUCCUUUUUCUCAAGAGUAUCUCAAAAAUGGAUACAUUUAUCAGGUUAUAAUUUCUCCACUGGGGCCACUGUAAUUCCACUUUAGCAUUGGUAAGAUUAACCUAGCUGUUCAGCAUUGAAACAAAAGUUUAUUUACCCAAGGCUUUAUACUGGACCCAGUCCAGCUCAGAACCCAGUCCAAAUAUGGCGGGUUUCAGACUUAGUUCAGAAAAGGAAAUGCUUAAAUGAAGGCUGAAAGCUGUUAACACAAAUGCCGUGGAACUAGGAUCUAAGAGGGACCUACCCAGGACCUUCCAAGGCAAGGAGAAAGCAGCAAGCUUAAGGGCAUCAACAGGUACCUGUGUCUGCUUGCUCUUUACUCCUGGGGGUGUCUGUGAUCUCUUUUGGUUUCCUCUUCUGGUGCUAGACCUCUUCAAGAUGAAGUGGGGCAUAUUAAAAUUUUUAAGAGUGUUUUUGGGAAAAUAUCAAUUUGAAUCUUACACUGCCAAACCAGAAGUGCUUAGGGGCACUCUGUGAACAGGCACCAGGGGAAAUAUUCCUGCAGAGAAAGCACAGAAACAAAGGAAGUGAUCGAUUGCCUGUAGCUUAAAGUCUAGUUGGCUUUUUGGUUUGGUUGUCAUUACCGUUUUGAUUUUGCAGCCUUAAAGCAUUUUCAGACUUAGAUUUUGGUUUGCUUACGUAGGCCACCAUGGCAUGAGAGCCCCUUCUUUCUAAUGGCCUCCUUGUUUAAUUGAACAGCUCAAAGAAAGUAUUACAAAAGAACAAAUAAAUACAAGUAAACUAAAAUAACAGUUCAAAAGAAGAAAGGUCAUACUUGGUUGAGGAUGAUCAGAGGUUUCAUGGAAGAAGUGAUCUCUGAAAUAUGUCUGAAAGAACCGGUAAAAUUUUAGCAGGCAGGGGAUGCUUGGGUGGCUCAGCGGGUUAAGCGUCCAACUCUUGAAAUUGGCUCAGGUCAUGAGCGAUUGGUUUGUGGGUCGGAGCCCCACAUUGGGCUCUGUGCUGACAGCAAGCAGUCUGCUUGGGAUUCUCCCUCUCCCUCUCUGCCCCUGCCCUGCUCACUUGCACAUGCAUGCAUGCACACACACACACACACACACUCUCUCUUUGUCUCAAAAUAAAUAAAUAUUUUUUUAAAAAAAUUUAGCAGGCAGAGGUAAAUGGAAGGAGGCAAUUGGUCCAUAAAAGCAAGUCAGACCAAACUAUUUGUACUAUAUGCCAUGGAGGUUGGCAGCUGCCGUAGGUGUUGAACAGGUGAAUGUUGAUUUUCUUUUGACAUUUACUUGGCUUAAGAAAAUAACUGAAAAUGGAUCUAUGCUAUAAAAAAUUAAUAACUCAAGCAAAAGUGAAAUUCUGGCUUUGCUUUACUUAUAGAGUGAUCUCUGUUGGUUUCUUGAGUUCUCAGCCUCACAGAACCAGCCAGUUCUGUCCAUUUUAUCUUUCCCUGCCAAAAAUCAACCAGCAGAGACAAUAGGUCAGAAGUCGGGAGGCUAGAAUUCAGCCUCAAUUAGUUACUACCGGUGUGACCUUGGGAAAGUCUCCCACUCAGCUGGAACUUCUUCAUCCAUUAAAAAAUAAUGAAUCAUUUUAGGCCUUCUUCACAACACUGGCAUGAUCACAUGAGUGAACAUUCUGCAGGGAUUCUUUGUAAGCAGUGAAGUGUUCUGCCAAAGAAAGACAGCUUUAUUCUACCAUUUUCCAUUGCCCCCCACCUCCUCUGCAGCAUAAUUAAGGCAGAUGUGAAAGUGUAUAAGGAUGUGGUGGCAUACCAUGGUAUUUUAUGACUCAGCAUUUUCACGUGUUACCAUGUGCAAUGACUGUUAGUAAGGAUAUAUGUCCCUAGCCUAUCUGGAAUCCAAAGUGACACUAUGCUUUUGUGCUCCUCGGCUAUUGCAGGUGGGGAUCAUUUUCUAUUUGCUGGAAGAGCUUUUAACUAGGUUAAACAAUUUGAAGCCAGAUGGGAUAUUGAGAAUUAUGCAGCCACUCUAAGCCCGAAAAGAAAUGUAGCCUAAGUACUGUGAUAUAAGCAAGACUUUGGGUAUGCAGCUAACUAUGAUGGAAAAAGUCAUUUUGUGCCCCAAGCAAAAAGAGAAUUAUGAAAGUAAUGUGCCAUCAGAAAAAAUGGGAUGGUUUCCACAGAAGAAAAAACUGAACCACAAAUAUAGUGUAAGCCCAUAGUUGGUCUAAGCAGUGAGACAUCUCUCUUGAUAGUGAGAAUUUGGAGAUGAUGCCGAAUUUAACAGGUUAAAAUGUUAAGUUACAAAAGAACUGUUUGGGAGAACUGAGUUAACUCAGGACAUAUUAAACCUCUGUCCUCCUAUUUCUGAUGGCCUUUCUGAGGGUUUCCACAUCCUAAAUAGACCAGCUGAAAUGAGAUAAACUGAGGAUAGUAUAUAGUUCUGGCCCUAAGAAAAACUGAGAAAUUUACUAAGCCUUUUUUUUUAAUAGUUACUUCUCUCCUUCUAAAACCUACCAUGAAAUUCUUUUCAUUGCCCUUGAUGCUUUUUAGACAUCUACUUCCUUUCUUUUCUCUUGUCUACCCCCCACCCCGACUUGUAUAUCUAUUUUAUAUUAUGUAUGGUCACUUAGACCAUCCUACAUAUUCCAUUUCCAUUUUUUUUAAUGUUUGUUUAUUUUUGAGAGAGAGAGAGAGAGAGUGAGAGGGGGAGGGACAGAGAGAGAAGGAGACACAGAAUCCAAAGCAGGCUCCAGGUUCUGAGCUGUCAGCACAGAACCCGACGCAGGGCUCGAACUCACGAACCAUGAGAUCAUGACCUGAGUUGAAGUCAGACGCUUAACUGACUGAGCCAGCCAGGUGCGCCUCCAUUUCCGUUUUAAAUCCUGUCUAGGCUUCAGAGUUUACCUACACUGGGCUGCAAUCCCUCUGGAAUAUUCCUUCUACUCAUAUGGUGAUGAUUGAUAACAAAUUUGUUGACGUGCCCUUCAGCUCAAGAAAUAUAUUUCUAUUUUAAGCUGGCCUUCUGAAAACAUACAUUAAUACAGUGGCACUUCAAGAGUAAGAAUUUGACUGUAGAAAACCAACAAAAGGGGAUUUUGCAGUAAGCCUUACAGAGGGUGUUUAGUUUUUAGUUUAGCGAUUUAAAGCUAAACUGGAUGAUAUCUGAUAAAACACACUUUAAAUAAAAAACAACAUACAUAUAGGUUAAAAGUAAAAGAAUUGACAAAGCUGUGCCAUGUGAACAGUAACCACACAGAUAGCUAGAAUAGGCAUAUAAUAUCAGACAAAAUAGAGGUCAGAGAAAGGAAUAUCACUGAGGACAAAGAGGGACAUUUUGUAAUGACAGAGUAGUCAAUUUCAAAAAAAAAUCACAAUCAAAUAAGUAUGCACCUCAUAAUAAAUCUUCAAAGUACACGGAGCAAAAAUGAUAGAAUUUAAAGGAGAAAUAGGCAUCUCCACAUUUGUAGCUGAGUUCAAUACUCCUCCGUCAGAAACUGAUAGAACAAUGAGAUAGUAAAAGGGCUGCCCUGAGCCGCUCCUUCCCCUGAUCCUCCUUUAGUCACCCUGAUUCUUGAGCCAGGUGUGUGUCAGAUUCUGUGAUGAUGGACAGUGGCAAUAGCCUCUCUUGUUCUACAUCCAUACUAUCCAGUUCACAGGUGUGUUUCAGUCUAUCCUUUUAGGUUCCAGCUCUUAUUUGGGGUCACAGCUUGUCUUUGCUCUCUUCCCUACAUUACAUCAUCUUUCCUUCCUGACUGCCUGUCCUGCAGACUGGCUCCAGCAUUAAAUGCAAAGACAGUAGCCUUACAGACACUGACUCACAAACUCCCAUGGUUGUCUAAAGGUCACAUCUGUAUAGCAAAUCUUGUACCCAAUCUAGAUCUGUAUUUAUGUACCUCUAUCUCUAUUUAGCUGCAUCUGUAUCUAUGGCCAUAGUUACAUCUACUUCAUACAUAUAAGCUGCAAAUCCUAAUUGAUUAUGGUAUAGAAGGCUGAUUGGUAUGGAAUUUGGUGCCGAGAGUGAUUCCAGAGGAAUAGAAUCUUUAGGAUUAGUUCUCUGAAAUGGUUUUGAGUUUUCUGGACUGGAUCCUCUGGUCAGAUUAGAUUUAUAGGCCUUAAUGACCUCAUUUCCAGGGGAAAGAGUAUCUUGGCCAUGCAUGGCACACAAUUUCACAAUGAUUACUUAAAUUAUCACCUACAGAUAACUGUAAACAUGUGCCUAUAGAAGCCAAUUGCUCUGGGAGGCCUAGUAAUUGCUGCCAUAGAACAUUCUAGUGAAAAUAAGGAGUAUAAUGGGGUUGGUUGGCUGUUAGGCUGCAGAAAUGAGGGAAGGGAAAAUAAUGAGCUCAGGGCUUUAAAUUCCAAGUUUAAGGUCUGCCUAAGGGACUGAAAGCUUCAAUAAUUGUCCUAAAGGAAACUCUUAACUGUUAUAGCCAUAAGGAAGAUAUUUCUCAAAAUCAAACCCAGUGCCUUAUCCUGGGGAUGCCUGAAUUACAAAUGCAGAUUGAGUUCUGAAUUCUAGAGGAUCUCUAUUGUUAAAGUUAGAUCAUUGAUAAAGUUGGAGUAGCACCUGAAUAAUUGCAAAGGGAUCAUAUAGGCAUAUUCCAGUGAAGCUUGGUACUUGGAACCUCAAAAUUCUGCCAAGCCUUCUUUGUCUAUAGAAGAAGACUUUGAACCUCUGCCUAAUGAGGUUAGUCUUCUCUUGGCUGAAGAACCUGUACCUGCUUCUCUGGAGGUAGUUAUUGGGUAAGGUACAACUGAUAUUCCUCAGGAACUACUCUCACUAUCUCUAUUUGCUUACAGACCUAUAACUAAACUCAGGACUCAGUAGGUCUCAAAGGAUGAAACACAAAGUAUGAUCCAUGAGGAGAUCUGAUAUACACAGUAUAAUGAUUUUUCCAGAACGCUGGGAAAUAUAUGUAGGAAAAGAUUUUUAAAGUAUAGGAUCGAGAUGGAAGCAAUAUAAAUUUACAUCAGCAUAGGGAUGCCAGGGUGGCUCAGUCAUUUAAGUGUCUCACUUCAGCUCAGGUCAUGAUCUCGUGGUUUGUGGGUUCAAGCCCCAUGUCAGACUCUGUGCUGACAGCUCAGAGCCUGGAGCAUGCUUCAGACUCUGUGUCUCCCCUUCUCUCUGCCCCUCCCUUGCACGCUGUCUCUCUCUCUCUCUCUCUCUCUCUCAAAAAUAAAAUGAACAUUAUAUUUUUAAAAAUUAUAUCAGGACAAAUGUAAUGAUAGGGCUCACUCAUCAGAGAUUCUGUAUUCAAAGCUAAAGGGCUAGAAAUGACUUUAACAGUUUUCUUGGUUAGCUAUCCAAAAUGUGGACUCAAAGGUGGCCUAUGCUAAAUUAAGUUGAAGUGCCAGGUUUUGGGUAUACUACAGAGUCAGUUAUCCAAACAUUAGGGUAAUUGAACUAUCUCACAUAUAUUUAGUGAUUGCUUAACGUAUGUAUUCUCUGCGCAGUAUCUAACGUUUAUAGCUAUUAGUUUGAGCUUAUGUUUUAAUGUUUACUUAUUUUGAGAUAGAGAGAGAGAGAGUGGGGGAGGGACAGAGAGAGAAGAGAAAGAGAAUCCCAAGGAGGCUCUGCACAUCAGUGCAGAGCUCAUUGCGAGGCUCAAACCCGUGAAAAUUGAGAUCGUGACCUGAGCUAAAACUAAGAGUUGAAAAUUGAGAUCAUGACCUGAGUUAAAACCAAGAGUUGGAUGCUUUAACCUGGAUUGAGUCACCCAGGCACCCCUAGUUUGAGCUUAUUAAUUACAUUAUUUAACUUUGAUAUUUGUGAUGGUUUGUUUCCUGUACCUAUCUGCUUGCGAGAAGCAUGUACUAGAACUCUCUAACCACUACGGCUUGUCUCUUUCUCCUGAUUCUAUCAGCUUACUUUUUUUAUGAAAAUAAUUCUCUAAUGAUAAAAAAGUUAUAUACUUCUUUCUUUAAGUUUGUAACUUGGCCCUUUCCUUUGGUCUCUCCCCAAAUAAAACUCUCUUUGCAAAGGAACAUUAAUAAAUAAUGGUGAUUUUAUUAAACCUAACAGAGGUCACAUGGAAAGGGAUUGUAUUUCUCAGUGUAUAAUAUUCAUUUCAAAAUUUUUCAUUAUAUAUUCCUCUCCCAAGUUUCCCUUCUUGACCUCCCAUACAUCAGGCGUCCCCUUUCCCUUCUCUCUGCUCUGACUCCAUCCUGUGUUACCACAGCCCUCUCCACUCAAUACCACUAAAAUCACCACUAUUCUCUCUUGAUUUAUUAUAUAUAGUAAUUUAGCUCUAUCCCAUAUUCUUACUGCAGACCAUAUGACUUAACCCACUACUUCAUAUAAAUUCUGUCUAUCUAAAGCCAUUUUGAUGAGGGGAGACAUAUUGAUUAUGCUCAGAAAGUGAAAGAUUCCCCAGCACCUAGGCCCCAUCUUCCUUAGGAGGCAUUUUGGCUUAUACAUUUAAAAAAAUUUUAACAUUUUUAUUUAUUUUUGAGAGACAAAGAGAAACAGAGCACAAGCAGAGGAGGGACAGAGAGAGAGGGAGACACAGAAACCGAAGCAGGCUCCAGGGUCAGAACAGAGCCCGACGUGGGGCUCGAACCCACAAACCAUGAGAUCGUGACCUGAGCCAAAGUCAGACUCUUAACCGACUGAACCACCCAGGCCUGGGCUUACAUAUUUAAUACUGUAAUGCUUUUCAGUUCAAAAUAAGACAUUUUUUUAUAUGCAGAGAAGAGAGACAAAAUUGUAUUUUUUUUCUGGUUAUCUAAAGAGUAUGAGUAACAACCUGAAUGAGUGGACUGGAUCUGUGUUUUUAUUUUAGGUUUUCAUCAAUUUCCAUGAUGUUUAAGCAUCUCUUGUAGGCAGCCACUGUGACAACUACUGGGUUGACCCAUCAUUUAAUCCAGUUCUGAUCCAAGAUCAUGACAAGAGAAAGUACUGAAAUUUCUUGAAAAAUCAAUGAAUUUUAAUGGCCUUUUACCUCAUUGAAUGAUUACGUUGACAAUGCUUCCUGUCCACACGUAGCUAUAUACAGAGAACUAUCCCAUUUUAACAUAAAUCAUAUAAUGUUUUAGACGAUAGGAUAUUAGUCUAAGGUCAAAAUUAAUAGUUACAAUUGUCUAAGGCCAACUAGCUCAUGAGGGCAAAAACAUGUAACUUUAAUAUUACAUCAUUCAUCGUUACCUCCAUUUCAAGUUUACACAUCUUUUCUGAUGUCAGAAAAUAAAAACUUAGCUGAUCCUAGGUUACGCCAGUCUUAAGCAGCACUAGCAUUCUGUGAGUACAUAUUUUCAGACUACAAACACAUUUCAAGUACAGAGUUGACAAGUUGCAUUUCUAAUCGUCCCCACACAGCCUGAAGAGGCUGACAUUAUAUAAUUCAUAUUAAAGUGCUUUGAAAAGUUAAAUGUACCGUAUAAGUAGACCUUGGUGUGCAGCAAUAUGAUGUCCAGCAAUUUUCUUUUAUGGCCUUUGGCCAAUUAUAUCUGUGUUAUCAAUUGACUGUACUCAUUGCCAGCAGAGAGCACAGAAAUGAACCUCAAUCUGUUACUCUCCUUAAUGUACUCUGGGUACUAGACCCACAUUCAUCUGACCUCUCACGUGUUCCCAUAAUCCAAUACUUUUCCUCCUCUGUGGGGCCAGGCAAGUGAAGCAGGGAAUACAAGAGAGGUUUGGGGCCAAUGAUGACUGUCUCUGCCCCUGUGUAAAGAUAAUGGUUGUUAUCCAUUGUUGUGGUUUUCAUGGUUUAAACACUCGUUCAAGGCAUUUCAAAUGAGGUGAUUCCAAAAGAUAUUUUUGCUAGCAGUAAAAUUAUGUAUAUGUAUGUAUGUCUUCCCAAACAUCUGCUUUGUAGAGUUAUACAUUGCCAUUGCUCAUAUUCAUGAUUUAAUAAGAGAGAGCUUGGUCUUGGGAGCUGAACAGGGUAGAAAUAAAUCCCACGCUUGACUCAUAUUGUAUUCAUAGCCUUGGACAAGUUGCUUAGCUUCAAUUGUUUCUCUUUUAAAGAUGUUAAUUAGAAAAAAAAAAAAAACUUACCCAACAGAGAGGAUGUGAGGAUUAGAGAUUAGUUUUAAUACAUGUCCCAGGCUUGGAGUGCUUAGCACACAGUGGAUCCUAGGUCCUUGGUCAGUGAUACAUAUCGCUGGGGCUGCCCCUGGGUGUGGAGAUCCCUGGCCGCAUAUUUGUAUGGGGCUUUUCAAUAGAAAUAAUUUGAUUUAAAGACAUUAUUGUAACAUAUAUUGAAACAGGUAGGGUUUAUUGGCUUGUUGAUGAAUAUUUAAUGAGAAGAAAAAAGGUACUUACAUAUUUAUUUUUUUAAGUUUAUUUAUUUUGAAAGAGAGAGCACGGGGGAGGGGCAGAGAUAGAGAGAAUCCCAAACAGGCUUCUCACCGUCAGCACUGAGCUCAACAUGGGGCUCGAAGUCACAAAUGGUGACAUCAUGACCUGAGCCAAAAUUAAUAGUUGGACACUUCAUCAACUGAGCCACCCAGGUGCCCCACUUACAUAUGAGUUUAUUGUCCAGCCAGUGCACAUAAAUAUUCUUUGUGGUGUUCAGAUACCAUUUUUUCCUGUUUGGGUAGAAGAACCACUUGUUGUGACCUUUACUUUCACAUGCACCAUCUUAAUUUCAUAUCUCCCACUGUGAGAAUAAAGGUGGCAACAGUGUUAUUAUAGACAAUGCUGUGCUCUUCAGAACUUGUGUUUGUAUUUUGUAUUGAAGCAUAGACUUCCUUGCCUCUGUAAUUCCCUAAUACCAUUCAUUUACUGCUGGUUCCAUCAUUACUCAUGACAGUGUAUCAUCCUUAAUAGGGCCCAUGAUCACUGACUUUCAAUGAUCCUCUCAAAGGCUGUUACUGACCUUCACUGAUAAUGACCACAAAUGCAUAUGAACCCAGAUUAUGCAGGGAAAUGAGACCAAUAAUUUAUUUCCUGGUCAUGUUAAAUUCAUCAUUUCAAAUUUUAUUGCAUACAAUGUAGAAGUAUAUAUCUUCUAUGUCACUCUAGGUCACACACGAUCACAGCUUUCCUAAAAUGUAAUAUUUUUCAUCUUUGGCCACACUGCUCCCUUCCACAUGUUGCCACCAGUGAGAAGGAUAAGGGAGGUGUUCAUGGACAGAGUGAACAGAAUAUCAGUUACCACCAUGGUUUAGGAAUUCUUAGUUGCUUAGAUCUGAAGCAUGAGAAGACUUUCAUCAGAAGGACCAAUGGUGUUUUAGCAGCAGUCCUGAAAGCCCUCAAGGCCUCUGAAGAGAUAGGGGUAGCCCUGCAAGAAGGACUACUCACGCAGGGUGGUGAGCUUGCAAGCAGAGUUGGUACAAACAUCCUGGGUGCCAGUGGAGCCCCCUCUACGCAGGGUAAAGAAUGACCACAAUAUCCUGCUGUGUAUUAAAGAAGUACCUGUAUCAUGGUUGGAAUGCAAAUGGGUAGGUACCAAGCAAUAGGCUCAUACACAUGGGCCAUGAUUUGGUAGUGGGCCUUCAGUAUCCCAAAGCCAUGCACUUAUCCCACACCCAGUGUGAAUGAGUGUCAGCCACAGUCAGCAUGUCAGCAUCAUUCCGGAGGUGUGAAUUUGCACCAUUUCACAAAACACUUACCAUAUUGGCAGUAGGAGUGAUAUGCUCACCAAGCUCCCCACUUGGUACUGGGACCUGGCCACUGGCUCACGGGAUGAUGCAAUAGGCAGAAUCCUCAAGCUUUUUGGCACAUCCAAUCAACCUCACAUGAUUGGGAGGACUAUAGGGUCAGAGGGCUCCCCAAAGGAAAAAAUGGGGACUUGGAUCCACUAGGUCCUCAGCUGGGCAUAGAGCUUCAGCCUAGAUGACAUUGCUGGCACAGUCUGGUUUCAGGUACCAGAAGGGGACUCAUAAAUUUAAAAAAAAAAAAAUAUUUUUUUUAAUCUUUAUUUUUGAGAGAGAGAUAGCAUGUGAGCAGGGGAAGAGCAGAGAGAGAGGGAGAUACAGAAUCUGAAGCAGGCUCCAGGCUCCGAGCUGUCAUCACAGAGCCUGAAGUGGGGCUCGAACUCACGAACUGUGAGAUCAUGACCUGAGCCGAAGUCGGACACUUAACCGACUGAGCCACCCAGGUGCCCUGGGAGUUAUAAAUUUUUGAGGAAGAAACUCUAAAGCAUGGUACCCUCUGAGGAGUAGCCAGAGCAAGGGUCUUGCUUGCUUAAGUCUAAGGUGGUAUUGCCAGUGGCCAUAACCAAUCUUUAACAAAGCUAAUUGAGGGAGCCAGCGUUUUAGUUGUCUUAUGAGCCAACUAUGAGCCAAAUGUAGGAUGGAAACAACAUGACUGCCUGUAUUUGUUCAAAAUUCUGACCAAAACCUUGCACUUGAACAAGGUUCAGCAAAAUAAGGUCCAAAACUCAGGAUUUUCUCGUAAGUCUUCAGCAGUUCUGUUCAUGGUUACGUCAGGCGGCUUACAGCAUGAAGCUGGAAUGUAAAUAAGGGGUGGCCUCAGCAAACAGGAAGACAUUUAAAGGUGACAAACUUAUCUAGGACUUUAUCUCUUUGUCUAUGUUUACUGUAGGAAAAACCACAGUGAGGAAAAGAAGUCACCAGACAGACAUACCAGUGAGCUAGUAACAUCAACAAAACACAACAGUCCCAUCAACUGACCUUAACCUGUUUCUUAAACCUUUAUGAAAUAUCAGAGAACCUCUUUCAGAUUCCAUUUCCUCAAUGUCUACGAUGCUUCUAAAGCUUGUCAUCCAUGGCAGUAGAAAUAAUAUACAAAUGUGAUGUGACAUUUUGUGUGAAAUAUCAUAGUACAGUAAUUGAUUAUCUAAGGUUAUAAGGUAUCCAGAAUGUAGUUUAAACCAAUAUCAAAAUGUGCUACAUAGACUGCUUAGGUUAGAACCAAACAGAAAGCUCUUUAAAAAAAAUGGCUUUUUGGGCUCUAGAAUCAUGGACUCCGGGAAUGGGUUUUAGAAAUCUGCAUUUUUAACAAAUCCAUUAGGCAAUACUAGCAAAAAAAAUGUGAAAACCCUUAGAUUAAGGUCUCAGAAAUGAUUAAAUUUAGCCUCAUCUUCUGGAGGUAAGACAUUAAUUCUGGUUUUUUCAGCUGGAUGCUUCAUAUGCAAUGCAGAAAAUAUCAGUGUCUGAUUGCCCCGGGAUGACCAUCUCUUACCAUUAGCCCACUGGACACUGAAGCCAUCCAGCCCCUCCCUAGCAUUGAAUAAGAAGGAGUAUUUUCAUAGAUAGAAAAACCCCAUCAUUGUUGUCUAGAUUAGAAGAUCAGGUUAGCUUUGGAGGGUUUAGCCAUCUGAAGUUGAGGAAUAAUGAAAAGCACAUGUAGCAAAGCCUCUUAUAGACAGAAAAUAGUACUUUUUAAUAAUUAAAAAAACAGUAAUCUGGGCAUUUCUAGAUUUAUGAUUUCUUUAAAUUAUUUUUUGCCUCAGUUGUUCCUGAGUGCAUUUAAAUGCUGUUAUCAUUACAAUAUUUCUUCUCUCUCCCUCUUGUGUUGGAUAUGUGUUGGUAGAAAUUGUUGGUUGCUCAAAACAAUUGUCUAAGCAUUUCUAAAAUCUUUAAUCUCCAUUUAAUAUCCAUUCUAAAGGGUGGAUUGCUUUUUUUUUUGUAAUGCAGUGUCUCCUAAUGAAUAUGUUAAACAUAACUUAAUGUUCAGUUCUGUGGUUUUCCAAUGUGAAAUUAUCUUAUGAGGACAGUCUCCCAAGAUGGGAAGUUAACCACUGCCUUAUUAUAAAUUCUUUGAGAUAGAGAAGCUGACCAUUAUUAUCUCCAGCUCUGGGCUCAGUCAUCUACUGGGAAGAAAAUAAGAAUAUGAAAAAAAAAAUCUGUUGGGAAUAGAAAAAGGCAAGUUCUUUAAGUGACUAAAUUGACAAUGUAGAAUCUCAGGCCAUUUUGGAAUACUCAGGUGCAUGAAGGCUAGAAUUACUGUAUAAGUUUACUUAUGUUGAAAUUUUUAUCAUCAGUACACUGUUAACCAUAAGAAAUCCCAUAUUUAAAAAAUUAAAGAAAUAGAGAAAGACACAUAUCAUAUGAUUUCACUCAGAUGUGGAAUUUAAGAAACAAAACAUAUGAACAUAUGGGAAGGGGGAAAAGAGAGAGAGAAAGAGAGAGAGGGAAACAAACCAGAAGAGACUUUUAAAGAUAAAGAACAAACUGAAGGUUUAUUGAAAGGAGGUAGGUGGGGGAUGGGCUAGAUGAGUGAUGGGUAGUAAAGAGGGCAAUUGUUAUGAUGAGCACUGGGUGUUAUAUGUAAGUGAUGAAUUACUAAAUCCUACUCCUGUAGAAUGUAAAUAAAAUUUUGAUGAAAAAAAUUCCCGGGGCACCUAGGUGGCUCAGACAGUUGAGCAUCUGACUCUUGGUUUCGGCUCGGGUCAUGUGGAGCCUUCUUGAGGUUCUCUCUCUCCCUCUCUCUCUCUGCCCCUCCCCCAUGCACACACACACACACACACACACACACAUACACACACACACACUCUCAUUCUCAAAAUAAAAAAAAUUAAAUCCCACCACAAAAAAAAUAUAGAUAGAUAGAUAGACAAAUGAAAUAGGUGAGGAAUUUUAUCUUCAGUCUUUAGUGUUCACCUACUUCUGGGCCAACACAUCUCUGUCCUUUUUUCUUUUCCCUGAGUAGGAUGUUGUUUUCCAGUAUCUGCCUGUCCCUGCAUCACCAUGGAAAAGCAUUGCAUAGCCACAAGUCUUUCUCACUGUUUACAGCCUUAGCAAUGGGUGUAAUUGACCCAGAAUUUACUUUAUAUCGAAUUUGAUGAUAGGCUUUUACUUUUUAAUUUAGGAACACAGGAUGAACAUGACAAAGUGGAUAACUAAAAGAUUUUCUUGUAGGUGAAUGAAAUAUAUUCUGUGUUCAUUAGCCACAGUAUGCCUGGCACUUAGCUUGGAGUUCAGGUGAGCCCAAAGAGAAUGCUGGACAUUGUCCUUUUAGAAUUACAGCCUAGAUUGAAAAACCAAAGUAAAACACACACACACACACACACACACACACACACACACACACACACACGUGCACUAACAAUCCACGACUCUAAUAAUGUGCUGAGUAUUAUGAAGAUUCAGAGAGAUGAAAGAGAGAACUCAUUUUACAUUCAGAAAAAGACAACAGAAAAAAAAGAGUAAUGUUUUCAUUUUCUAUUGUUUAGUUUAUCAGCCUGAGAGUAAACAUGCUUCUUUUCCCAUCACUUCAGUAUUUUUCAUGUAAUUUCCCACUCUUUUCCAAUGAAGUAAGACCCAUAGACUGCCUUAAAAUCUGCAUUUUAAUAAGCUUCAUAAAUUGAAUGUUCUGAUAAGAAUAAAAUAUAAAACAGUGAGAUAUAUUUUCCUCAACAUUCUUUUGAUAAAUAAAGUUAUUUAUUUUUUUAAAGUUUAUUUUUUGAGAGAGAGAGAGAGAGAGAGAGAGAGAGAGAGAUGGAGAGCCCACAAGUGGGGAGGGGCAGAGAGAGAAAGACACAGAAUCUGAAACAAGCUCCAGGCUCUGAGCUGUCAGCACCGAGUCUGACUCAGAGCUCAAACUCAUGAACUGUGAGAUCAUAACCUGAGCCGAAGUUAGUUGCUUAACUGACUGAGCCACCCAGGAGCCCUGGCAAGUAAAGUUUUUUAAAAUAUUGUGAUAAAUAUGCCUUUCAGACAAAACCAUUUCCUUUUCUGACGUAUUUCUUUUAUUGGUUAAUAUAUGUUAUGUCCAGGCUAAGGCUUUCAAAAUAUUUUUGGUAAUAUAAAUGUUUAAUGAAUCAGAUAAUACUUUAUUAGGCACAAUACACAAGACUCUAAUAAGAAAACAUUUUGUUCUAAUUAUCUUUACCAUCUCUUGGCAGGAAGAUAAUAAUUCUGAGCUCUUCAUAUUGCCAAAUUUUCUUUUUUUAAUGGGAUAUUAUUGGUACCUGGCAAAAGAUAGAACUAAAAGAAAAACAAAUACCGGAUAGGGGACAGAAAUUAAUGAGUUAGAGGAUAGAAAAACUAGAAAACUUAAUAAACGAAAAUACUUUGUUUUGGAAAAGAUCAGCAAAAUAGCUCAAACUAACAAAAAAAUAUAGCUAACUUGAUCAAGGGAAAAAAGGCAAAAGCACAGACACACAAAAUAGUGAUAAGAUAGGCAAUAAUAUUUGAAAUAGAAGGGUUUUUUUAAUACUAAGAUUCUAUUUUGUAGAAUUAUGUGAAUAAAUUUGAAAACAGGCUGAAUGGUUAAUUCCCUAAAGAAAUACAUGUGGCUCCAGGCCCAGAUGGUUUCACAGGUGAGUUCUACCAAAUCUUCACUGUUUCAUAUAAGGAAGGCUCAAUGUGCAGGUCCUUCCUGUCCUUUAUAAGUGUCACUGAUAUAAAAUGUCAUUAUUUAAGACAUGUAUUUCUUAGAAGAAUGCAGAAAAUGUCACACAUUCCAUUUGCUACAACAUAGUAAAUUAAUUUUUCUGAAAUGCUGUAUUUUACUCACUUACAUUUGCUAUUUGCUACUAUUAUAUCCUUUCUUUUUCCUGGAGGGAAGUGAGGCGGGGAGAGAGAGAGAGAGAAGUCUUUAAUUUUAUGUGUGAAGUGAUUUUGGAUUUAAAUAGGGAAAUCUGACCAAAGGUUUCACCAUCAGAAACAACACCAAGACAUCUAGGGUCCCUGUUAUUUCCUAUUCUCCGAGGCAUACAGGCAUGAUGUUAUCAAUAUGUAAACCACACUGUGAAGGCCCGUGGUAUACUGCCGUGACAAAUCUCAGUCCAAAGUAGAAAGUAGCAUUUGUUAUAAGAGUAAAUAAAUCUGAGUCUAGAUGGUAAGGGUGUAGUGCUGUGCUGCUAGGUUAAAGCAAAAUUGUUAUGCUAUUUAUAAAAAUAGACAAAUAUAUUCAGCUGACAUAGUUUCCUACCAUGUGCCGGGAGUUGCAUUAAUUUGCCUCAGUAAGAAAACCACAUCUGAAACACAAACAGCAAUUCACGUCAUCAUCUGAUUAGGUUUAUAAUAACCCUUUGCCAUUCCCCAAGACUUUUCAGUAUUUCUAACUCCCCAUCUGUGGAAUUUAAUGAGGAUGUGAUCAGACUGUAGAUACCAAUGUUGCAUUUCCCCCAGUGAAAUUAUUUCACUUUGAAUUUGUUAGUUUGGGAGAACAAAAGAGACCAAAGGACUUAUUUUAUGGGUAAAGAAUUCUUGCAGUUGCUUGAGAUAUGUAUUCCAACUAUACAAUAAGGGACUUGGGAAAUAACCACAAAUAAUACUGAAGAUCCCCUUCAUGUACCAUGAAACAAACUUAGCUUAGGCACAUUUUCAUGCCAGGUAAUGCCCGUUGGGUCUAUCUGGCUGAACUGGGACCCUAGACCUCCAGAAAGUAAUGUCAUCUCUCAGCUACCAGUCCUUCCUUACUCGAGUUUCUUUAGGAAAAAGUAGAUGGAGGUACACACCUGUGCGUUACCACAGUGUCUCUCUGUCAUGAGUUUAGCUAAUCUCCCCCAUGGUAUUGCUGCCUUGGCAUCCCUUUUGUUUGGCCAAGCAACCUGAAGUGAUCUUAAACUGACACAAGCACACCACCGCCACCCCCAUGUGCUUGCACGCACAUGCUCUAGAUAAUAGCCCACAGAGUCACCAGCAGGUGCAAGUUCCUGAUCUGAUGUUUCCAAUAGCUCUUGUGAUCAGUAGCCUCCCCUGCCUCCCAGGGCCUUCCCAUGGUAUGCCCCUUAGGUAAGACCUGACCAUGGAGAUUCCCAAAACCCUCCUCUUUCAGUUUGAAUUGACCAAUCUGGACUGAAACUGGGAACUCCAAAGUACUCCACCCAUAUACCUUAAUAAAGGCAUGUGGCCAGGUCCAGGCUCUCUGUCUGCACUCUGCCUUGACUUCCCCAUGUGAUGGCCCCAAGGUAUGCUGGGGUACUUCCCCCAGUACCUAUGAGUAAUCAACAUUGGUAUUUCAUUGUCUUUUGAGGUUUGUUGCUGAACCACCACAACCUACCAUCUGUAUCCUGUGCUCCACUUAAGUGUUAAUUUGAUGAAUUCUUAACACCUCCUUAAUGGUACAUGACUUCUUUAUCCAAAGCCUUCUGACUCUUAAUAUAACUCAGGCACGAGACCUAGGUAGUGGUUGGGACUUCCUACUGUUAAGACUCAAAUCAGGCCUCUGUUUACCAGACCUAGAAUUUGGGGUUUUUACAAUCUAAGUAAAGCCUAAAUUACUUUCUGAAUAUUUUAUUUUGGUGGGCCUCUAUAAUUAUGUAACCCUUCUAGAGAAUUCUGAGUGUCAAUCAUUCCCUGAGACACCAUCUCUUCCCAUUCUUCUCCAUUUGCCACUAUAUAGGCACUGCCCUCCAGGGUCUUCCCAUUUUUGCUAAAAUCAUAGAGUCCAAUUUUGUCCAUUUCUUUUUUUUCAAGUUUAUUUAUGUAUUUUGAGAGAGAGAGAGAGCAUGUGAGCAUGAGUGGGGGAGGGGCAGAGAAGGCGGAGAGAGAGAAUCCCAAGCAGGCUCCAUGCUGGAAGUAGAUGCAGGUCUUGAUUUCAAGAGCAGUGAGAUCAUGACCUGAGCCAAAAUCAAGAGUCUGAUGCUUAACCUACUGAGUCACCCAUUUUGUCCAUUUCAAUUGCCAUCUUUUCCACUAGAAUUCCUGACCUGGAAUGAACAUCCAUCAAAAUUGUUUUUAAAGAUUGUCAUCCCUCUCUCAUCAAUCUGUUCUUCAUCUCAAGUGUGAAAGCCCUGGAAUGAGGUAGAGUUGUUUUUUUGUUUUUUGUUUUUGUUUUUGUUUUUGUUUUUUUUUUGAAAGCAUGGGAUUUUCAAUCUAGAACUUUUGUGUCCCAAACUCUUUCAAGUCUGUCUUCCAAAUUAUGUCAAGAUGUUUCUGUUCUCCUUUGCUACUUAUGGUCUGUGUUCACUCUAAGUUGUCUUAAUGAACCUGGUAAAUGUUUACGUCUAAAUAGAGCUCCCAUGUUUGAUAUAGAAACUCUCAAAAGUUCUCUCAUAAAAAAUUUAGCCUAAUCCAAAAAUUUAUUUUCAUCAUCCUUGGUUAAGCAAAAUAUUCAUUUCCCCAGGCACUUUACAUUUAUGAAUUGUUGUAAUAAUUUUUAGUCUUAUUUUUCAUUUUAUCACCUAAGCAAAAUCCUGCUUACUUAGAAUAAGGCACUAGUAGAAGCUUUAGCUUUUCUUCUUCAGGGAGGCACAUUUUAUUCAUCCAAGAGAGUAGCAGUGAAAAUCAUUUCACAGGGGCACCUGGGUGGCUCAGUCCGUUAAGCCUAACUCUUGAUUUUGGUUCAGGUCAUGAUCUCAUGGUUCAUGGGAUCGAGCCUGUGAUGGGCUGUCAAGCUCUGAGUUGACAUGGAGGAGACUGUUUGGGAUUUUCUUUUCCCUCUCUCUUUCUGUCCCUUUCUCUCAAAAUAAAUAAAUAAACUUGAAAAAAAAAUCAUUUCAGAUUCAUUUAGUGGUCCAGGGCUUUCAAGGCCUUCAAAACCAUCGCCUAUUUCAUUGUUUCAGUUAUCCAAAUCUCACUCUUAUUUGAUCAAAGCUCUAACUUUCACCUGAAAAACUCUGACAAGGUUAUUAAUCCAUAGGCUUCUAUAAUUCAGCAACUCAAAAAAAAUCAUUCUUUCAUUUUCAUUUUCAGUGAUCUCUAACCUACUGCUGGAGUCAAUAAUAAUUUUUUUUAGCACUGUCACAGGAGGCUAGUGGUCUCAUCCUAUGUUUUCACUGAGUAUUGUACAUUAUGAGUUUGUUUUCUCUAGCUUUGUCCAUCAGGACCAAAUAUUCCACCACACUGUCUGGCAUUCUCUAUCACAUUUCAAUUAGCUUUGCAGACGAACACCUGAUCCCAGAGUGUCAUUCUCAGUGGGCACGUGGUCCAGGUCACUAGUCCGAAUAGACUGAUUCAUCCUGAUUGCUGUGAUUGGCCAUGAGCGGCUCUCUCCUCAUCCAGAAAUCUUGCUACAUUUACUGCAUCUCAUCCAAAAACCAAAUCCAAAUCACAUUUUCAUGAGAGUAUUUUGCUAGAACCCGAUUUUUCUAUCUAAUUUUGUUACAUUUCUUUGCUUGUAAUCAACAGAAAACAAUCAUGCUUCACUUAAGGAGGAGAAAAGAAUGUGGUGGAAGAAAAGUAUGUAGCUUACAAAAUCAAAGGACAAAUAGGAAAACUAAACCUUAAAGCAGACUAAACAGAAUAGUUUCAGGUAUUUUAAUAGCAAAGACUCAGGAAUCAGACAAACCUCUCCAAUUUCCUUCUGCCUCUGGGUGUUUCUGUGUAAUAACUGAACUCCAAGAGUAGAAAGUCUGAUUUUCUGGCAUGGGUCAUGCACCCACCUUUGUGUUGGUGAGGAAUAGACUGGGCUCCACAAUUCCUCCCAAAUUAUACAGUUUAGGAAAGGAGUAAUCCCCGCUCCACUACCCAAGAAGGGAGGCUGGGAAAGCUAUACGUAUGUACAGACUUAAAAAAUAUCCCCUACACAUGCAAGAUGCUUAAGAAUUCUUAUUGAUUUGUGUGAUAAUUCUGGGAAAGAAAUCAGAUUACUCAAAUGAUGCUAAGUAUUCUCAGUACGACCACAUACCUCAGCUGCCACAGUCAUAGCCUUGUGUAAAUUGUUUCCAGGGCAUAGAUUCUACACACUCUUGUUUCUGAAACUGGGCCUUCACUUAUCCUGGAUGAGCUCAAGGGAUUUGUAAAUAGAAACAUUAGACAAUGAUGAAGGGGGCUGGUCAUCAAGAUUUCCUGGCUGUCUUAGUGCUCAACUAUCCCUUCAAAGUCCCCCAAAGGUGCCAGUUCUGCUAAAGUUCUAUUAGGUGAUCUCUUUUUUGUGUGUAGCUAGAUAUAAAUGACAAAUUACAAGAUAAAAGUUAAAGAUUAUAGCUAAUGCUUUGCUUUCGCAAACACCAACUCUUUGUGUGUUUGUUAACACAAGAACUAGAUUUUCCUGCCGUGGUAACUUUGUUUUAGGGCUUUUCUUCUUACCGGGAGAAAAGAUGUCAUUUGGCCACUGAAGCACCAUCAUGCUGUUCAGUUUUGAAAACAUUUCUCUCAUGCAAGGCCACAGCUUGCCCCUGUGACAUGUUGCUGCAAAUUAGAAAAACACCCCCCUUCUGGGAUGGUGUUAGAAAAGCCACUGUCUGAACGAUGAUCCCCAGUCAGGUCUAUAACUUGGCAAGCAGAGCAAGGACAGAGCUUCAGCUGCUCCUGGCCUGAUGGCCUGGAGCUUUGUGUAAAUGCAUAAUCUGAUUGGCCGUUGGUGGUGGUUCUACUCUUGGGGCGAUUUAGAACAGCUGGAACAACUGGAAACCUUUCUUUUGUGGUCAUCUAGCUGGACACAUUAGGAAAAAAGACCCACAGAAAAUCCUGAACUGGAGUCAUCCAUUGUUUCUAUAUCCAUUAGAUUACUAAACCAAAUUGCACCAUCUUCCUGGUUGAAAGCUUUUUGCAUUGUGGUACCCAACUCUUGAGAUGUUUCUGUCUUGGUGUUUCAUGUGAUGCAUCAUAUUUAAGAUGCUGGGCCCCUGCUGACUGUAGUCAAAAUUGAACAUUGGGAUGCCUACCCUUUUUCUGAAAGGUGGCUUCCUUGCCCAAUCAGGGUUCCUGUACUUUUAUCUUUAUUCCAUGCUCUUGACUCUUCUUUCUGUUGUCCACAAUAUGUCUUGUCCCCUUAACUCACAUUAGUGUAGGCUCUUAUGUCUUGGUUAUUAUCCUAGCUGUGUCGUUUUCCCUCCAUCUCAUCAGUACCUUCAUAGACAUCAUUAAGUCAUGGGCCUUCCAUCUUAGGUGGGCCCUCAGAACCCUCUCGUAUGUAUACUUAAUCCACAAUCUGGUUUGGUCACACAGUUUCUCCCUGACUUUUAUCCUUCCUUUCCCAAUUUGGGCCCAUGCUCACCCUUUUCAACCCCACUUUUACCAGCACUAUGUAUUUAUUUUGAUCCUCUGUUACAACUAUCUAGCUGAGAUCCUUAAUGUAGGUCAGCUCAGCCAUUCCUUCACUGGUUCUAGUAAUACUUCGUAUCAGUGGUUCUCAAAUGUCAUCUGGGCAUCCUUAAAGCUCUCUCAAACUAUUUCAGGGGGUCAGUGAGGUAAAAGUCAAUUUUAUAUUAAUAUUUUCAUGUCAUUUGCUUUUUUUAUUCUCAUUUACUCUUGGUAGUGCACCACUGAAUUUUCCAGAAUGAAUAUAGAAGCAGAUAUGAGAAUCAACCUAUUUUGUGUUUGACCAUAUAUUAUAGAGAGUUGCAAAAAAUUAAAAACAAUGCUACUUUUCUCACUAAGCUUUUUGCUUUUCACAUACAGCUUUUUUCAUACAAAUGUUAUAUGGGUUAAUGUGUAAUGGGUUUAUUUUUUAAUAAAUAAACACAUUUUAUUUUUUUAUUUAAAAAUUUUUAAUAUUUCUUUACUUUUGAGAGAGAGAGAGAGAGAGAGAGAGAGAGAGGACAAGCAGGGGAGGGACAGAGAGAGAGACAGAGAGACAGAGAGACAGAGAAUCCGAAGCUCCCAGUUCUAAGCUGUUAGUACAGAGCCUGAUGUGGAGCUGGAACUCACAAACCAGAGAUCAUGACAUGAGCCAAAAUCGGAGACACACCGGACUGAGCCAACCAGGCGCCCCAAAUAAAUAAAUAAAUUUUAAAGUUUUCAAAGGCUCUGUGGCAAAAUUUUGUAGAUAUAAUGCACAAAUGGAAAAGCUCUGCAGGGCUCAAUAGCUGUUAAGACUGAAAGCAAAAUGUUUUAAAAUCACUGUUUUGAAACAUGAGCUCACUUGUGAACAUUUGGGGAAAGUGCUAUGCCAGGGUGCUCUUAAGUCCAGAUAUCAUGCUCCAUAGCAAUUGGAUAGUGAGUGUGGGUUUCAGGAAAUGGAUGAUGAGUGAUGUCUUGGAGCUUUGAGUUUUUAAUGUGUAAAUGACCAUUUAAGCAGUAAGUAUGGUUGAAAUGUCCCAGGGAAUAUACACAAUAAGAGGACAGUUAGGACCAAUUCCCAAGAAAGAGCAACCUGAAAAGAUAGACACAAAUAGAAGAGUUUGCAAAAAGGCCCAAAUGAAAUGUGUAAACACAGGAAGGAAUUGACGGCAGUGAAGUGUCACAGAAAGGAAGGGUCAAGUGUUUCCAUAAGAACAGAGCAGUCAGCAGGACAUCUGGCAAAUCCUGCCACAGGACCAAGUAAGAAGAGGAGUAUGGUGACUUUGGUGAGAGAAGUUUCAGUGACCUUGUCAGGGAACAGGUUGGCAGAAUUCACACAUAAAUGGUUUUAGAUGAAGCAGAAGAUGGAAAAUUUGCCAGAGCAACUUUCAAAACAAUUUACUUAAAAGAGAAAGAGAGGGGCACCUGGGUGGCUCAUUCCAUUGACCAUCCGACUUUGGCUCUGGUCAUGAUUUUCCUGCUGUCAGUGUGGAGCCUACUUCAUAUCCUCUGUCCCCCUCUCGCUGCCCUUCCCCUGUUUGUUCUCUCUCUCUCUCUCUCUCUCUCUGUCUCUCUCAAAAUAAAUAAAUAAAUAAAUAAAAAACAUUUUUAAAAAGGGAAGGAGGGAAGUGAUAGGAUAACUGGGGAGGAAGGAACAUAAGAUGGGUCAGGAUUUUGUUACAGGGAAUACUAAUCUACCCAACAAAGUGGCUUAUUGGUCUAUUUAUAUAGUUAUUUCCCUAUGUCUGUCUUCCUUGUGUAAAUGUUAGUACCUUGUGCCAACUGGUCCAUUUAGUACCCGUCUCUAUAUUUUUAGCAUCUGCUUCCUAUCAGACAAAUCCAAGAAAGGUCAUACUUGUUUGUUUACAUUAAUUAAUUAACUCUUUUACUAUUUUUUAAUAUAAAGCAGGCUUACUAUUCUUUUUUAUUUUUUUAAAUGAUUUAUUUAUUUUGAGGGAGAGAGGAAGAGUGGGUUAGGGGCAGAGAAAGAGGGAGAGAGAAUUCCAAGGAGGUUCUGUGCUGAUACAGUGCACAGGCAGAUGUGGGGCUUGAACCCAUGAACCAUGAGAUCAUGACCUGAGCAGAAAUCAAGAGUUGGACGUUUAACUGACUGAGCCACGCAGGUACCCCAGCUUACCAUUCUUAAAAAAGGAAAUAAAGAGCUAGCUACCAUCCCAUUUGAAACAAGUCUUAAAAUGCUCAUGUUAAUAAGGCCAUGGCAGCUAAAUUGAUACCACUUAGGCCAGAGACUAACAUAUAAAAAAAUUCCUGAAAAAUAUGGAUGAAAAUAAAUCAUUUUUAACACACAGAAAAAUAUGUUUUCCUAGUUUCUCCCUGAUGAGGGGUUGUGUAUUGACCGCAUUUAUUUCAAGCCAGUGAAACUGGGAAAGCAGGGGAGAGUCACCAACUGUGGGAGCUCUGAGAAAGGAACUGAAAUUUGACUGAUGUAAAGAUGUGCUCAGUUCAUCUGUUUAUAUAUAUCUAGAGAGUGGAACUUUGAAAUCCUAAAUAUACACUGUAGUUAUUAACAGUGAUCUUUUAAAGGUCUAUAAAGAAUUAGUGAAGUGAAAUCAUCAUGGAAAAUCAUAUGUUCAGAAGAAAAAUAAAAUGAGCCUAAUUAAAAGUGCUGGUGAUUAAAAUUUUUAUGUCCAAUUCAUAAUUCUUCAAUUAUUUUCUUGACAGUACUCUAACAUCUGUGUAUAAAAAAAUUCCAUUACAAACACAAGGAAGCCUCUAUAGGCUCAAAACUAUAACAGAAUUAUGCACAACUGAGAAAUCAGCAGCAUGCUAAUGACCAUUUGUUUUAUUCAUUUGUGAGAUGGCUAAUUGGUGAAGUGAACACUGUCUACCAUAAUUUUUCAUUAAAGAAACAUUUUUCUUUUAAACUAGCAGCUCGUUUUCCACAGAGCAGAGCCAAUGACAGGUUCUCAAAAUGUUAUCAGUAAAUGCCAUCCAGCUCUAAUUACCGAUGCGAAACAGGACUAGUAAACUCUUCACUCUUUCAGUAUGUCGGUACAAAAUACAGUAGGUACUAAACUUAAACCUUGUUUGUGAUAGACAUCUAUCACGUUCUUCAUUCCCCACCAUCUUUGUAGGGAUUUUCUGUUCGGGGGGAAAUGUCUACGGUAUGACAUUUACAACGUGAAAAUCAGAAGCAAAUUGUUAGCUUCCUUUGCAGAGAGUGUGAAGGCAGGUGACCAGAGCACCACAGUCAGACACACCUGCUGAGCUUUCUAGUCAGAAACGAGGGGGAACAAGUGGAUGUGGGAUGUAGGAGCAGGGACAGCACUGGCUUCCCACAGGUGGCAGUGCUGGGCUUGCUGGGCGCACAAGCACAAUUAGCCCUGGCGGCUGUGCAGUCACGCUGAACGUCUGCUCUUUGGCACCCAGCAGAGGCACUGGGCACAGUUUCCUCCACAGUCCAUUCCCAUGUCAUGUUUUGCAGUAUUACCAGCAAAAGCUUAGUUUUGAGUCUCUUUUUGCCCCCAAAGUAUCCUGCUGAAUUCAUUAACCAUCUGUUAUUCUUCAUACAUGGCUUUUCUGAUUCAACUAGUCAGAACAGAAUCUAUUGUUUACAUCAAGUGUUAUGAGUGGUACACCAUCGUAGCUUGUCAAUGGGGGGGGGUGCUGGGAAUCAAGGUCUCCAUGCUGCUUUGAGCUAUUUGAGUCUUUAUUGGAAGACCUUAUGUUUCCAGUCUGAAAGGCCGAUGAAACUGAGCAGCAAAGUGCAAGAAUUGCCUGACCCGCACAGGUUUGAAUUUGCUUCCUAACACCACCAUAAUUCGCUGUGGAUAAGUAACUUCCUCUCUUUGAUUCUUAAUUGUAUCACUUAAGAUAGAUGAUAAUAAUACCUAAUAAUUGUCAGGAUUAAAUGGGAUAAUAUUUACAAAGUAUUACCGCAGUGCUUCAUACUUCAAGCUGACCGACAAAGAGCUUUUAUUCAGCUAUUGUUAAUGCCUCAUAAUGGUGAAUUUUCAGUUACAGAGCAUCUAAUCCAUUCAAGCUACUUUAAGCAGAAAGGGAUUUAUUUUAGAGGAUUAAAUCACUUCCAGGAUGUUUGGGAGGGCUGAAGAAAUGGAGGUGAGGGUGAACUUCUAGAAAAGCCCCAAAGCCACCCUCAGAAUAUGCUAACAGAAAGCUGCUAUCCCAGUUCUGACCGGUCAAGUGUAGCAUCAGGAAGCUGUUUGGUAACUAGAAAGCUUUUACUAAAGGGCUGGCUCUACCACCUGCGUUAUGCUCAGGACGCUCUCUGCGGGAUCAGAAAAUCAUGAUUCGAUCCCCAUCAAACUACAAAUAUGCUUAGUUUGGCCUAUUUUUGAACUCUAUACAAACAGAACCAUAAUGUAAAUACUCUUUUGUGUCAACCAUUCACCAUCAUGUUUGUGAGAUGCAGGAGUUCUGCUCUGUGCAGUCGUGGUGCAGUCUUUUUCGUUGCUUUCUAGAGGGGUAAGGUAGGCACAAUUGUGUCUCCCAGAGAUGUCAACAUGCUAACACCUAGAACCUGUGACUGAGUUACAGCACAAGGCAAAGGAAUAUUGAUUCGCAGACGGAAAUAGGUUGCUAAUCAGCUGGCCUUAAGAUAGGGGGAUUAUUCUGAUUCUCCAGGUGGGCUCGAGGUAAUCAUGAGGGUCCUUAAAAGUGGAAGAGGAGGAACCGUGGGUCAGAGACAGCUUUGUGGGAAGGGCUCAGCCAGAUUUGCUAGGUUUGAAGAUGAAGGAAGUGGUCUAGGGGCCACAAAAGUUAAAAAGUACAAAAUACAGUAAUGAAAACUGAGUGUCUUCUAGAAGCUAGAAAAGGUUCUUCCCUUAGAGCCUCCAGAAAAGAGUACAGGCCUGUCAACCCUGCGAUUGCAGCCCAGGGCAGCUUGCAGUGGACGUCUGGCCUACAAAACUGUAAGAGAAUACAUUUGUGUUGUUUUAAGCCACUCGUGUUGUGGUCGUUUGUGAUAGUUUGUGGUAAUUUGUGAUGUUAUGGAAAACUAAUAUCUAAGGGUUCCCAUCUUUGGCCCCACGGACCUUUUGGAGCAGAUAAUUCUUUGUCACAGGGGCCGCGCUGUGUAAUGUAAGAUGUUCAGCAGCGUCCCUAGAUUCUACCCACGAAAUGCCGUUAGCGCUACCGGGUGUUAAACGUAAGGGACGACUCACUAAAUUCUACUUCCUGACACGAGUAUUAUACUAUAUGUUAACUAACUAAAAUUUAAAGAAAAACUUAAAAUUGGUUAAUUAAAAGAAAAAUUUUUAAUGCCAUUAGUACUUCUGCUAGCUGUGACACUCAGAAAUGUUUUCCAGAAACCGCCAAGAUGGCUCCCACAUGAGAAGCAAUACACAACGGUAUUUUAUCUUAUAAAUAUGCUGCAAUUUAUUUAGCCAACCUAUUUGAAGAUUUUUGGAUUAUUUCCAAAAUUACUAUAACUAAUAAUGCUUUUUGAAUAUUAUCCGCCUAUGUGUUUCAGUUAAUAUAUGUGCAGCUUAUUCUUGGGUAUAUACUGGAAAAUGAAAUCGCUUGGUUACAGAGUAUGCUUUUUAUACCAAUAUGCAAUUUUCCAUGCAAUGUGUGAAAAUUCCCAUUGCAUCCCAUUCUUGCUAAUACUUAGCGUUGCCUGUCUUUUUAAUUUUAGCCAUCCUAUGUGGAGAAACGGGAACCCUUUUGCACUGUUGGUGGGAAUGCAAACUGGUACAGCCACUCUGGAAAACAGUGUGGAGGUUCCUCAAAAAAUUAAAAAUAGACCUACCCUAUGAGCCAGGAGUAGCACUGCUAGGAAUUUACCCAAGGGAUACAGGAGUACUGAUGCAUAGGGGCACUGUACCCCAAUGUUUAUAGCAGCACUCUCAGCAAUAGCCAAAUUGUGGAAAAAGCCUAAAUGUCCAUCAACUGAUGAAUGGAUAAAGAAACUGUGGUUUAUAUACACAAUGGAGUACUACGUGGCAAUGAGAAAGAACGAAAUAUGGCCCUUUGUAGCAACGUGGAUGGAACUGGAGAGUGUGAUGCUAAGUGAAAUAAGCCAUACAGAGAAAGACAGAUACCAUAUGGUUUCACUCUUAAGUAGAUACUGAGAAACUUAACAGAAACCCAUGGGGGAGGGGAAGGGAAAAAAAAAAAAGAGGUUAGAAUGGGAGAGAGCCAAAGCAUAAGAGACUCUUAAAAACUGAGAACAAACUGAAGGUUGAUGGGGGGUGGGAGGGAGGGAAGGGUGGGUGAUGGGUAUUGAGGAGGGCAUCUUUUGGGAUGAGCACUGGGUGCUGUAUGGAAACCAAUCUGACAAGAAAUUUCAUAUAUUAAAAAAAAAUAAUAAAAAUAAAAUGCUGACGGGUAACAAAAUAAAUAAAUAAAUAAAUAAAAGUUAGUUUCCUGAAAAAAAAUAAUUUUAGCCAUCCUAGUGAGUGUGCACAGUAUCUUCUUGUGAUUUAAAUUUGCACUUCCAUAUCUAAUAAAGUUAUGCAUCUUUUCAAUAUGUGUAGUCCCUAUGCUAGUCUUAUUUAUGCAGCGUCUAAUCAAAUAUUUUUUUGCAUUGUUGUUUUUCUUGUUUAACUUCUGGAGGUUAUUUUCAUGUUCAGAUCCAUGUUCUCUAUUUACAUAGGAAUAUAUGUUGACUGGGUGAUUGAUCCUAAUUAUCUCAGUACAGUAAAGUUGUUGUUACCUAUUGGGGUUAAGAUUUAGUCCGGAAUCGAGGUAAAACUCUGUAGUGCCUCAUGGGUGGGCAUUUACCUUAAUUUUUGUGUUCUCAACACUGUGAGAAUCCCCCAAAUUCUAUUUUCCUUUGCGGAGGCUUUCCAGUGUGGCUUCUUCGUCUCUGUGCAGAUGCUUCGAGGAGAGACACCUUGCUGGGUAGGGCUCUCAUCUCCGUGCCUUGCUUCUCUUCUGCAUCUUGGCCGCCCCACAUCUAGGUGUCUGUCUCUCUGGAUCUGCGCAGGUGGCCAACACUGUGUGGGCACCUCUCUUUCUUCUCUGUGGUGCCCCUCUUAGUUUCCCUGCCUGCCUCCCCAGUACCCCCUACAAGAAUUGUCAAAUACCUUGAUGGGAACAGCAGAAUUCAGGUCACUUUGUGAUCUUGUUUCUCAUGUUCUGGUUGCCUCAGGAACUCUCUAAUCCCUUCCAACAGACAAUUUUGUAUUUCGGAGCAAAUUUGUGUUGGGCUAACUAUUCUCCCCUGGAGGGAUGAGCUGCUGAAUUCUACCGUAGCUGGAUGUUCGUGUCAAAGGGGAGUUCUGAGGCCUAAAUCUCACAUUCCUUGUAAUCAUCCCCAAUUCCCUCCUCUUCAUUCAGCAUCAUUGUUCUACACUGUAUUUUAAUGUUUCAUGAUACUAAGAUGUUUCUGAUGCUCAGCUACAGCAGGAUCUGUAGCCAGCAAUAAAAGAUUGUUUCAGGAAAAUCGCAGAGCUCUCAACCUCUGACUGUGCCUUGUACUGAGAACAUCAAACUAUGAGUUGGUUAUUUUCUUUUUUUGUCUAGUACAGUUAGAGGCAGUGAGAUUGUGCUCUUCAUGCUCCAGUGGUUCAUUGUAAUAGCUGCUAGGCCUAACAAAGAGUUAGCCUCAUUUCCCAUCAAAUGACCAUAUGUGAAAAUUAAUUGUUUUCCCAUGGUUUCCAUGGGCCAGUUUCCUAUAAUUUGAUGUUCAUGCAGUUCUUUCCAGGUAGGAUUAUUUGUCCCAGAUUCCCAUUUCCUUGAGAGUUCCAUGAGCUACACACAUCCCUGUUACUCAGAAGUGCAUUGUUUCAGAAAUAGGCAGUAUCUGGUUUAACAUAAAAGGGAAAUGUUGACCAUUCUUCCAGAAUGGUUAGAACAACUGAAGAAAUAGAAUAGGCUAAACUUCUAGGGAAAACAUAUCAAAGCAAUACAUAAGACUCGGGCUGUUCGAGGGCCUACCACCUCUGCUGUGAUCACAAGCUAUAGAAUCAGAAGUGGCUGUCGCCUCUCUUUCUCUAGAACCAUUUCACCUCUGCCAAGUCCUGGACCGUCACGACAAGUCUCAAGCCCAGCUUGUCCUUCUCUUACUCGAUUUUGAAUCCAAGGCUCAUGUGAGUGCAUCUAAUUGGCAAAACCAAAUCCUGAUCUGAUACCCUCCCUGCGAGAGAGGAGGGAAAUGCAGCCUGAAGUUUUCAGCCUUUGCAUUCGAGGAAUGUAUUCAAGAGGGGACCUGGAAAUAAUGACAAGCCAGUCUGCAGUGUCCACCACCCCACUCGUGACCUAUUUCCCAGUGUAUCAUAAUUCUUGUUUCUUCACAUUACUUGACCAGGAUGUCUUGCUCAUAGGCUCCUUAUACUAUGUGUCAAUAAUGAAGUGAUUCUGUCCUUCAGACCUGCUUCUCUCCCUGUUCUUUGUCUUGGGGAACAACACCGACCCAAACUAGAAGCCUGAUAGGUAGCAUAGGUACUUCGUAUUUUUAUUUCAUAACAGGCUUUCAGUUUUAUUUGUUUAUUUAUUUAUUUGAUGCUAGAUUUAUUUAUUUUUAUUUAUUUUUCAAUUUUAUUUAAAUCCAUGUUAGUUAACAUAUAGCAUAAUAAUGGUUUCAGGAGUAGAUACAUAUUUCUUUUUAAGAGAGAGAGCGUGAGCCAGGGAGAGAAACAGAGGGGGAGACAGACAGAGAGAGAGAGAGAGAGAGAGAGAGAGAGAAUAUCUAUGUCCCAAUGUGGGGCUUGAUCCCACAACCCCGGGAUCAUGACCAGAACUGAAAUCAAGAGUCAGACACUCAAAUGACUGAGACACCCAGGUGCCCCUUCUGGGGAUAUUGUCUCCUUAAUAAGCUUUUUAUCUUCUCCAUUCUCUCUACUCCUUAAUUCACUUGGACUUUUUCUUUCUUAGAUUAUUUUCAUAGCCUUUAAUUUUCUUCUUUCUUCUGGACUGUCUUUCUACACCCUCCGCUCCAAACAGAGCAUAGCCUUCCCACUACUGAUGGAGCUUUUGGUCAUUUUGCACAUCCAUCCAGGUGUGCACCCUUCAGGGUAUGUAUACAGCCACAGAGAGCUGUAUCAUUCUUUUUUUUUUUUUUUAAGUCCUGCUCAUUCUUUAAAACUCUGUUCAGGGGCGCCUGGGUGGCGCAGUCGGUUAAGCGUCCGACUUCAGCCAGGUCACGAUCUCGUGGUCCGUGAGUUCGAGCCCCGCGUCGGGCUCUGGGCUGAUGGCUCAGAGCCUGGAGCCUGUUUCCGAUUCUGUGUCUCCCUCUCUCUCUGCCUCUCCCCCGUUGAUGCUCUGUCUCUCUCUGUCCCAAAAAUAAAUAAACGUUGAAAAAAAAAAAAAAAAAAAAAAAACUCUGUUCAUAUGUCACUCAUUCCAGGAAGCCUUUCUAAACUUGGUCUGCUUUAGAUGUGCAUAAUCUGUGACAGCAUCGAACAUACUGUUCCAUCAUUAAGGCUUCACUGGUCUGUUUCUUUCCACUAGACCAUCAGAUCCUUGAGGGUGGGUAUACCAUAUAUUAAACGUUAUUUGCCAAAAGUAUAAUGUUAAUAGCUGGAGUUGAGUAGUCCCGCCUACUUGUGGGGGGGGGUGGGGUGGGAACAGUGAUUACAAUAGAAAUCUUAGUAGUAUUUUGCAAGGCCUAAAAAUUAGAUUAUGAUUUUGAGAUAAUUGCAAGCUGGAACUUGAUAGUCUGUUUUCCACACUUGGUAUGUUCUCAAUGUUGACAGUGAGGAACAAACUUUACUAACCUGAGCCAGGAACCUUUGUCCUAAAAAAUUCUCUGUUCAAGUUAGGGUUAAAAUAUUUUCUAAAAAGUUAAUGAACACCACUUCUCACAAAAUUAGAAUUUCAGUGUCAUUAAUAGGGCAUAACCAUUAAUUUUAAAAUCUUCCAAAAUGUAUACAUUGUGAGCAAAAAAUCCACAAAUGUAACGGGUUGUAUGAGGAUUACAUUCUCCCAUAGGGCACUUUUUCUAAAGUAUUAGAAUUAAAAAAAAAAAAAUCAAUACUAACAUUGUAAGGUGAACUGAAAAAGCAUUUAACCUUUACAGAAUGUUUUUUUUAAGUUUAUUUAUUUUGAAAGAGGGAGAGAGAGAGCAGGGAAGGGACAGAGAGUGAGGGAAAGAGAGAAUCCCAAACAGACUACACACUGUCAGAGCAGAGCCCAAUGUAGGGCUCAAUCUCAUGACUUUGAGAUCAUGACCUGAGCUGAGAUCAAAAGCCAGAUGCUUAACUGAUUGAGCCACCCAGGUGCCUCUUACUGAAUAUAUUCUUAAAUAAAACCUCAUUCCUUUUAAUACCACACCUCACUGAUCUGGCACACUUACUCUGAAUAUAAUACUGUUCUUUGUAUACAAAGACCACACUACUGCCCAGGGACCAGUAGAGUAUGUAGUUUUUUUAAAGGGAUAGUAAACAUCCAUUUGUGAACCUGAGUUGCACCAAACAUAGUCAGGGCAUUAAAAAAAAAAUAAAUAAAUAAACAGCAUGCAUUUUUAAAAUGUUCAAACAAAAUGACAGGUUUAUCUCUGAAUUAGAAGUUGAGCAAAACCAGGUUCUAACCAAGUUGUUUAUCAAACUGUAUUCAAAGUAACAUUGAUAAGAUUUUAAUAGUAGUCUUUGAAAAUAGCAAUGUGGCAAAGAAACUUGGGAUGCAGGGUUAAACAAAUUUGGAAAGGCUUGUUUUUGUCUUGUCUUGGGUUUGGGUUUUACAAGACUUCUCAAAGUCUUCAUAUGAUAAUAAGAAUUUUGUGGCUUCUCUAAGAAGGUAUUAGAGUAUGCAGUGUCCCCAAAGGACCUGACCACAGAAUCGUCCCCGCUCUCAAAUAUGCACACUUUUCAAAUAACUGGUGUGCAUUCUUCAGCAUUUAAUUAGGGUAAUGCUAUCCUAACACACACACAUACAUACAUACAUACAUACAUACAUAAAAAAUAACAGUUGCCAGGAAAUCUUGGCAGCAGAAUUUUAUCUAAAACAAAAAUUUUAACACAAAAUUGGACUUUAUGAAUCAAAACAAAGUUCAGAAAAAUUUUACCUUUUAAAAAAAACUAAGUGAGGCACCUGGGUGGCUCAGUUCGUUAAGUGUCUGACUCUCGAUUUUGGCUCAAGUCAUGAACUCACGAUUUGUGAGAUCAAGCGUGGCAUCAGGCUCUGUACUGUCAGCAUGAAGCCUGCUUGGGAUUCUCUCUCUUUGCCCCACUUGGACUGUCUCUGUCUCUGUCCCUCUCUCUCUCUCUCUCUCUCUCUCUCUCUCUCUCAAAACAAAUAAACAUUUAAAAAAUAAUAAAAAAUAAAAAAACUGAGUAAUAAGAAUAAUCUUCCCACUGAGUGCCUUCUCUGAAAGAGAAACAAUGGCUAGUUUGCAGAAAAGGGUUUUUUCCCCCUUUUGUUUCUUCCCUCCUUCCCUCCUUCCUUUCUUCCUUCCUUCCUUCCUUUUUUGGUCCGGCAGAAUUGUACCUCAAUUCUCAAUUAACGGUGUCAGAAAUGAAGUCCUCCCUUUAGAACUAAUUUCUGCAUUCAGUAGCUGGCUCUAACAGGAAUAUCUCUCUUGAACUGAAACCACUCACGGGCUGUGCUCCUGGUACUGCAGCCUCUAAGAGGUAUGCUAAGUUCACUCUGAGUUGCAAAACUGUACUACUGAAUCUAUAAAUGAACCCCUAAACAAUUAGGUGCCAACUAGGUACCAAUCUCUUGUUUGUUUGUUUGUUUGUUUGUUUGUUGAGAUAGUAUUCAUAUUAAAUAUACCAUUUUAAAGUGUGGAAUUCAUUGGUUUUAGGAUAUUUACAACAUUGUGCAAUCAUCAACAAAUUCCAGAACAUAUCUAUCACCAUCCUGCAGAAUACCUCUUACCUGUUUUGCUUUGUUUUUUCAAUUUUUUUAAUGUUUGUUUAUUUUUGAGAGAGAGAGACAGAGCAUGAACAGGGGAGAGGCAGAGAGAGGGAGACACAGAAUCGGAAGCAGGCUCCAGGCUCUGAGCUGUCAGCACAGAGCCUGACGUGGGGCUCAAACCCACAAACCAUGAGAUCAUGACCUAAGCCGAAGUCAGACGCUUAACUGAGUGAGCCACCCAGGUGUCUCAGAAUAUCUCCUACUUGUCAGCAGCCACUCCCAAAUCCCCUCAUUUGCUCACAACUACUCAUCUGCUUUCUCUCUGUCUUUGCCUAUUUUAAUAGGAAUUUCAUAUGAAUGAAAUCAGAUCAUAUGUGACCUUUUGUGUCUAGCUACUUUCACUUAGCAUAAUGUUUUCAAGGUUUAUCUCUCAGUACUUUAUUCUUUUUUAUUUUUCAAUAAUCUUCCACUGUGUGAACAUAACAUAUUUUGUUUACCCAUUAAUCCAUUAAGGGGCAUUUGGGUUAUUUCCACUUUUUUGGCUAUUGUGAAUAAUGUGGCUAUGAACAAGUUUUUAUAUAAACAUGAUUAGUGUACAAAUUCUUGUGUGAACAUGUGUUUUUAGUCCUUUUGGAUAGGUACCUAAGAGGAAUUGCUGGGUCAUAUACCUCGAUGUUUAACAUUUUGAGGAAUGGCCAAAAUACUUUAUUUACACAGAGGAAGCACCAUUUUUCUCUCCCAUCCGCAAGGUAUGAAGGUUCCAAUUUCUUCAGAGCCUCAUCAACUUUUGUUAUUUUUCUGAAAAUGUAACAAACCCUUAUAAUUUAACAAUAAAAGGGCAAUUAAUGCAAAAAUGGGCAAAUAAUUUAAAUAGUUUUCCAGAUAAGAUAUACAAAUGACUAAUGAGGUCAGGAAAAGAUGCUCAACAUUGUUAGUCAUUAAGGAAAUGCAAAUCAAAACUACUUGUAGUUCUCUUGAACUUGAAUAGAAUAUCCUGUAACUGUUUUUUACUUUUCUUGAAGAGAUCCAUAGUUAGUUCCAAGGCAACUAACUUCACCAAGAAAUAAAACACCUGGUGAUCCCUGUACUUCUUUGCCAUAGGCAUUGCUAAUCAGUUACCCAUUUCAUUAUUAACCUUGUUCCUUUCUUUCUUUAGUCAAAUUUGUACUUCAUGCCCAUUAUCAAAGAUGGGGUCUGUAUUGUUCCCUAUAUGAUUCCUGAAUCUAUGAUAACUUUUUGGCACCAUGAAGGAAUUAAUUCUGUAUUUUCAGUAGAACACUUCACCUUGAAAGGUGAACAGCAUUUGACUACAUAUUUUUUAUGGACUAUUGCCAGCACAGUUUUACUAUUGUUUUCAGGUCUCCUACCAUUUUAUAGUUUAAUCUUAGAUCCAAGAAACCUUCAUUCUUAAAUGGGUCAUAGUUCUUUUUAAAGACUAUUCAAGAGCCUCAAUUUUAUUUAUUUUUUAAUGUUUAUUUUUGAGACAGAGAGAGCACGCAUGUAAGAGCGUGCACAAGCAGGGGAGGGGCAGAGAGAGAGGGAGACACAGAAUCCGCAGCAGGCUCCAGGCUCAGAGCUGUCAGCACAGAGCCUGAUGUGGGGCUCAAAUCCAUGAACCAUGAGAUCAUGACCUGAGCCGAAGUCAGACGCUCAACCGACUGAGCCACCCAGGUGUUCCCAAGAGCCUCAAUUUUAAAAUCUAGUUAAGUGUAACAAUACAACAUUGGAUAGAAAUACAAAGGUGACAUUGCAGACUAUAUCACACAAGAUAGUAACGUUCUGUAUCUAAAAUGUAUGAAAAUUAGAAGAUCAUCUAAUAACACUCAGACACAGACAUACACAUGUUUCUAAUGAAAUACUGGGAGAAAAACCUGGACAAAAGGAAGUAGUGACCUACUUAGUUUUUCCUGAAUGUUUUAUCUUUGAGGCCAGAAAUUUCACAGGUAACGUUUUGGUUCAAAAGAUAAUGGGAAGUACUUACAAGAAUCAUUCCAUGUGCAUGUUAAAACCUUUUCUUCAUGACAGGGCAUAAUAAGAUCAUUUUUAUAUAUAAGCCUUGCUCUUUUUUGCAUGCCAGUAAGAAAAAUACUACAUCACAUAAUUGCUUUAAAAGUGGUCAUUAAAAGUGAGAAAUAUAUCUUUACACAACAUUUUCACUUUUACAAAAUUGCUUUAUUUCCCAGUUUGGAAGAAUUUGCUGAAGAGUGCACAUAGAUGUUUGAGAGUAAAUUAUGAGAGGCCAUAUUGGCGAUACUGAUUUUAGAAGCUUAUGGUUCUCAGUGGAAUUUUGAUGAAUGUCUUCAAUGUAUAUUUAUGCAUAUUAACAACAUAUGAAUUCCUCCCUGACUAUAGUACUGCCUCUGAAAUACUGAGCUUUCAAGCAAACUUAAAAGGUUUCAUUAAAGGGGAUGUUUUUCAUUUCAUCUCUGGGCAUACACUUGCUCUUACUCUGCAUCCUAGGUGGCUAUGUAUAUGCUAAAGAAAAUAAUGUAAGCUGUAGCUCCAUACUUGCAAAUAUUAAUAACUCUGGCAAGGUUGAAAUGCAUUUUCUCUUCCUUCCUUCUACCUUAUUUUCUUCGACAGUCAUCUAUCGGCAUUACAUUGCCUGUUUUGUUUAAAAGGCAGGACUCUUCUCCUUUUCCCCUGAGAAUCAUUUCAGAAGGUAGAAUCUAUGCCUUCUUAGAAACCAAGGGGUCCCACGUAGGUAGCCUUUGGUGUAUAAUCCAUUCUCAAUCCACCAAAGAGUCCUUACUAGUGAAAAAUAUGCGGGGCCAGUAUCCAUGACUUGAUCGUUCAAAGGACUUUUUUUUUAAUUUUUUUUUUAACGUUUAUUUAUUUUUGAGACAGGAAGAGACAGCAUGAACCGGGGAGGGUCAGAGAGAGAGGGAGACACAGAAUCUGAAACAGGCUCCAGGCUCUGAGCUGUCAGCACAGAGCCUGACACGGGGCUCGAACUCAGGGACUGUGAGAUCAUGACCUGAGCCGAAGUCGGAUCCUCAACCGACUGAGCCACCCAGGCGCCCCUCAAAGGACUUUUAAAGCAAAAUUGACUUAUUUUAUUAGUAAGAGGCUACCUUUUGCUCUUCCGUAUUCUAUCUCAACGUGGGGUGCGCUAUUUGGUAUGCCUUUUGAUGAUUUACAUUUGAAAGGGCAUGCAAAGUAAUUGUAAAGAUAUUUUCAUCUCCCCUCUCUGCUAACAGAUUUGAAAAAUGAAAUGUGUUUCCUCUAUUACUGAUUUUUAUCGCUUUGCCUGUGGCAAAUGCAGAUUCUUAUCUCUUAACUUUUGAUGCACGUGUCAGCAUGUUCCUGUUUCAUUCGCUCUCUCAUUCAGCAGUGAGCUCAAAACUGAUGGUAAAAGUGCGGUGGGAUCCCAGAACUGUCCAUGACGUGCCCAUUCCUCUUCAGCAUAAUCCACAAGUGUCAGACCGUUUCUCCAAGUUAAAGUCAAGCUGACAUCAUAUUACCUGCCCAUUCCCUUGAUCUCAAGGGAGAUCAACACACUUGCCAUCCUUUGAUCUUUCUCAAGGGUCUCUGCAAAUUUUCCCAAUUUUCUGAAAAUAGCAACUGAACCACUAACUCUAGAACACUGUAUCAAUGGAGACAUCUACUGGAUCCAAACGUCACGGCUUCUUGGGAUCAGCACUUUUUCCUUGCCUUCUCAACUCAGAUUUUGAAAGUAGGCACUUUUUCAAGGGAAUUUUUAAGCAAUAGAGGUUAAAAAAAAAAUGAAAUUCGCAUCAGAAAAAGCCAAAAGCAUCAGAGUGAACAGAUGAAAAAAAACACAGAUUUUAUGUUCUAAUACAACCGUAAUUGAUAGUAUUUAUUGAACUCUCUUUUAUGUAGAAGGCAAUGUCUUCAGUGCUCUAAACCUAUAACCUCAUUCAGUUCUUACAACAGGCUUAUGGAGGCAGAUAAUAUUAUCCUUUCUAUUUUACAGAUAAGAAAAUUAGUAACAUACCCAAGAUCAUAUGCUAAUAAGUGGUACUGUGAUUAAGAUCAAAGACUCUCUAAGGGCAUCUGGGUGGCACAGUCAGUUCAGCAUCUGACUCUUGAUUUUCACUCAGGUCAUGAUCUCACUGUUGUGAGAUGGGGUCCCAGGUCAGGCUCUGCACUGGGCAUUAAGCCUGCUUAAGAUUCUCUCCCUGUCCCUCUGCCCCUUCACUGCUCUCACUUUCUCAAAAAAAAAAAAAAAAAAAAAAUUAAAGUCUCAAAAUUGACACAGCAGCACGACAGAAGACACUGGACUCCUUAAUUUAGCCCUGUCUGUGAAACUAGUUCUAAGCCAUCUUUGUUGUUGUUGUUGAGUAAUUAAUUAAACUUCUUUGGAGGGCAUAAUCUUUUUUUAACAUAAUUUAUUGUCAGAUUUGUUUCCAUACAAUACCCAGUGCUCGUCCCAACAAGUGGAGGGCAUAAUCUCAACUACGAACUUCAAGUUGUACAUCAUUAUGAAAUGUUCGAUACCAUCUACCCUCUUCCUCACAAAAUCUUUGUCCUAACAACUGAAAUAAUGUAAAAUCUAAAAGAACAUAAAAUGGUUAAAUUGUAAAUAUUCUUAAAUGUGUGUGUGUGUGUGUGUAAACAUCCAUUUCUCAAACAUGUCUGGUAGAUAUAAAAUGUAGAUACAUUAGGAUAGGCAAAAAUCAUACGCAAGUGAAAGGACAGUAAAUGCAAGAGAAAGGCAUUUCUUCCCACUGGGAAUGGGCAAUAUUUGUGGAGAAAACCAAUGUCCAUAAAAACACAGUGAAUAAAUAUUUUGUAUAUAUUGCAUAAUCUUGAAUAAAUUGCAGCUGUAGAAGUUGAGGAUUAUCUGAAAAUAGUAACACAAGCAAUAGCCAUUCUUGACCAGAACAUCUUGGGACAAGAAGAGAUGGUAGAAACAUAAGAGGUUCAGGCCAACCUGACAGAUUAAAAAGGACAAACCCCUCCCUGAGUUCAACAAAAGAACUAUUGAAGCACUAACCUAGGAUUCUAACCAAAUUCUGCAAAGAAGAAUGAAAAAUUUAUACUAGAAAUUGGCUGUAUAUGACUAGUGUGAUUAAGGCAAUUGUACUAAGCUAAGUGUAUUUUAAAAAAUGGUAUAGGUAUCUUCCCCAAAGUUAAAGGAACUCUCCAGGUAUUCUGUUAGAGGUAAAUGUCUGGAUUUAAUAACAAUGUCAGUAAAAAUAAGUGAGAUAAAGCUUUCUGGGGCCAGUCUUAGAACUCUUGGGGAUGCAUGACUUGGAAUGACACCAGUAAGGUGAUCUGUGCCAGAAGUAUUCCCUUUGUGAUAGGCACCAAUGGGCAAGAAACACCAUGUUCCUGUGGGUGGUGUUUCAAGUCCUGCAGGAUGUAGCCUUCAUAAUGCCGGGGCUUGGCGUUGGUUGAGGAGAGAAGCUGACCCGCCUGCAAUCACUGCAUGUGAACCGGAACACCUGUUUGUUGAACUCCGUUUCCAUCUUCGUCAUCUUUCUGCAGAGAGCACUUUGGGGAGCAGCUUGUUCUGAAGUCAAUCUUGUGUGUCUGGUUAGUACAGAAGAAUCAGGCAAAGAGGAUGGGUUUAAUGUCCUUUGCAACACAGAAGACAAUGCACCAUAGAAGGACAAAGAUAAUUGGUCUGCUGGACUCACACUGAUGAUCUGGAAGUCUAAGUCCCAAUGAGAGCUGGAUCACUGAUUAUACAACCUUGGUACCAUGCUGCUUUGAGGCCCUUCUCAUCUAGAGGCACCCUGUGCCAGGCCCGUCCCCCAAGGAAAAACUUCAUCUGUACUGUCGCCAUCACCAAGGGCAGCAAUGUGGAGAAGAACUGCAGUGGAUUGCUCAAAACCAAAACUGCUGGCAGAAAGCCUGGCAGGGAAAAGAGCGUGUGAAAGUGAUCUAUGGCUCCGAAUCAUGUUUACCCAAGGAAGAAUAAAAAAUGUUGAGACAUUGCAAGUUUGGUCAAAAUUACAGAGCAGUUGAAAAAUACUGAAGAUGCCACAAUUUCCCCCAAAUCUACACCAGCCCAAGUUCCAAGUAGCAAACACCAGAACACGCUAGAUGAAAUCCAGAGGGCUAGCAGUUUAUGGUGACUGAGAGACAAGAAGCUGGUACUUUCUGAGGCUUUUCUUCAAGAUGGAGCACCAGUCUGAACCCAAAAUAUCCUGUAGGUCCAGUCUGGAAUUAAAUUAUGCUCUAAGCACACAAAAACAAUUAAUGAUAUUAAAAUAUCAGAAAAAAAUAGGAAGAGGGUGCAAUAGAAAUUGAUACUGAAUCUUUCCUCCAUCUUCUUUGAUUUUCACACGGUAGGAGAACCUUGUUUUUUUAAUUAUGUAUGAGUGCUACCAAAAACAAAACAAAAGGUUAAUAAAAAAAUACAUAACACCAGGAAGUUACUGAAUCAGGUAAGUUUCUCUAACAGUAUACUACCAUAAUAAGACUCCUUUUUAUCAAGGGGUGCUAGACCAGGGGAUGCCACAAAAUUCUUUCUUUGACAAAUAAAGCAGACUACAGUCAGGGUCACUGUUAGCUUUUAAGCAUCCUUGGUGCUAACAAGAAAAUGAGGCCCCCUCUGGGCCAAACAGUCUUUUGCAUAUUCAAGCAGGAAAGCAGGUUAUGCCUUUGGGCAAAUCACAAAACUGCAAGCAUCCCUACGGGUGAAUAAAAUGCCAUGAUGGGGCCAUAUUGUCAAGGGAGCUGCAAACUGGAUUUUAGUUCCCACUUGGUCCCUUGGAAAGGUACUAUGGUGCAGUGAACUUUCCACACAACUGUAUGUGACAGCAAUGCCUGUACUUUAAUCACAUUUUUACUAACAAAAAAUCACAGGAGGUGUAAGUAUGAAAAUUGGAAGGGUAUACUAACCUUUGAACAGUAUACUGGCAUCUCUGGAUUGUGAAAUGGUGAUAUUUUUAUUUUCAAAUUAUCUGUAAUUAAUAAAUUAUCCACUACAAACCAGUAUGACUGAAAUAAGAAAAAUAACAGUAAAAAUUAUUAAUUGUCAAAUCCCUUUUCAUUUGGGGUCUUCUCUCAUACCAUUAUUUUUUUCCAUUUGUUUUCACUUCCUGUUACUGUCUUUUGUUCCACUUGUUAGAUUUUAAACGAAUGCUGAUGGCUGACAUUUGUCUGGCAUUGUCUAAUCCCUGGCAUUAGAUACUUCUUCAAGUACUGGGGGGUGGAAGAAAGUGGCCUUUGAAUCUCAGGUCUAACAGUUUCUAAUUUGGUAAUAUUGGUCAUUUAACUAUUCUGAAUCUCGAACUCCUCAUGUAUAAAAUGUAAUCUUUAGGUAGUAGGCUUACUAAAAAGGAUACAAUUAAUAUGUAUAAUAUGGCUAUGCAUAAGAGGUUUUAAUAAAUUAUAUAUAAUUACUAUUACAAUUAUAUCUGAAUUUCUUCAAAAUUUUGAUUAUACCCUGAGUAAGAAUAUUAAAGUCUCUUACAGCUCCCCGUGGCACUAACUGGUCAUUCAUCUUGGGUGAAACUGUACUUGAAGUAACUCUUAAAUUAAUAGGUUGGCUUUAAGUAAUUGAUUUCAUUUCUCCUGAGUAUAUGCAGCUGAAUUGGUUAAGGGUUGGGAUGAGAAUUAGCUCGACAAUUGAAAACAGGAAAGAAGUGUUGGUCUAAAGUAUCGAUAAGCAUGAGCUGAUAUUAAGAGUAGGGACAGUUUUCAUGAGUGGUGAUGCCACACAGAGGUGGCAGAAGCAGGAAGUGGCGGAGAGGGCAGACAGGAGGUAGAAGGAUGCUGGGUAAGACAGCCUGUGCUACCUGCCUGAAAUAGAAUAAAGAGUCAACCACUGAUCUCUGGGUUGUUGGCUCACUUAGAAAACAGCAUGGAAGAGUCAGAGGUCUGGUUUCUAGAGCCACCUGCAUAAUUUCUGACUUGGCAAUCUUUAGCCUGUCUCACAUUUUCAGAUCGCCCGUGUUCUUUCUCAUAUUUGAAAAAAUAAUGAUUUGAGUUCAUUAAGGACCAAAAGAGACACGUAUACAAAAAUUGCAUUUUAAACAUUCUGUCCACACGUGAGUUAGUGUUACGGGCAGUCAGAGGGGUAGUCUUCCUCUCCCUUUGAGGCUUGCUAUAUGCUGUGCCAAGAGACCAAGAGGAAUACAACCAGGACUGAAGUUGCAAUGCAUUUCCUAGCGAUGUCGAUGCGUUCGUUGAUAAAACAAGGGCUUAUUUACCACCUUCAAUUUACACAUGGUAGAUAGUGAUACAGUGUAGGGGUGCAGUGGUAAAUAAGCCAAGAUAACACUCUUCCCUAUGGCUACCAGCUAUGCUAUGUAAGUUCUAAGAAGGGAGUUGUAGGAUGCUGUGAGAUGGGGCCAGGAUCUGGUCGGGUAAUUCUCAAGGAGGAGACAUUUGACACGAAAGCUGAAUAACAAAGCUGAGUUAAUCAGUCAAAGAGAGGGAGAAAGAGCCUUCUGACAGGGCAGAAUGGACAAAUGCUCCUGAAAUGAGAGCUUGUAUAUGGUAGGAACUAAAAGAAGUUCAGUGAGGCUGAAACAUGGAGGCAAAGAGGAUGAGCUAAGAUUAAGGUGUAGUCAAGGUCCAGUCCAUAUAGACAUUGCAGGGCUACACUAAGGAUUUUGGUCUUGAGGCAGAAUGCAAUAACCAUAUAUCCAGUUGGUCAAGACUAGUGGCACUGGAGUAUGAGAGAAGGACAUAGAGAAAAGAUAUUUAGUUAGUCCUCACAAUGGAUUUGCUAAAGGUUAUGUAUUUAUGGGUGAUAGAACUGGAGGCAUAAUAUAUAUUUCCUAACUCUCUGCCUGCGUAUUUUGAUGGGUAAUAGUCCCAUUUACUGACUGCCAGAUAUGGGUGAAAGAUCAUGACUUCAAUUUAGGGAUGAUGAGUCCAAAAUGCUUUUGAGAUAUCUAAGGGGAAGUGCUAAGUAGGUUAAUGGAAAUUCAGGUCUGCCAUUCAGGAGAGGAGGUCUGGACUGAUGUAUAAUCUGAUCCUUACCCGAGAAUACAGGAGUUAGAAGCCAUGGGCACAAAGACAGAAUUACCUAGGAUAAAGAAUACAAUUAACUAUAUAUAUUUUUAAUGUUUUUAUUUAUUUUUGAGACAGAGACAGAACAUGAGCAGGGGAGGGACAGAGAGAGAGGGAGCCACAGAAUCCGAAGCAGACUCCAGGCUCUGGGCUGUCAGCACAGAGCCUGACGCGGGGCUCAAACUCAUGGAUUGUGAGUUCAUGACCUGAGCCGAAGUCAGACAUUUAACCGACUGAGCCACCCAGGCGCCCCAAGAUAAAGAAUACAAUUAAAAGGGAAGAACACUUAGACCAAACCUGAGACAAAACUGACUGCUAUGUGAGCUAUACGGACCUUGCUUAAUCUGCUACAUAAUCUAAAUGAUCUCUGAAGACUAAAUGUCUAUAAAUUGCAUAGUUGGAUGCCCACCAGUCCCUAACUCAAUUUUCAGAAGCAGACUGUGUCAAUUAUACUUCUUUUAUAGCUUGGAGAUACUCUUGCUAUGAUCAUGGCAUGUUUUUUAGUCAAUCUAUUUUGUUGUUAUUUGCUACCACUUUAGAUUAUUAAAAAGAAAUGCAGCCUGUUUUAGAGAGCAGAUCACUCAGUAAAAUUGUGCCUUGGUGCCAGAAAUAACAUCAAGAAAAAUAAAUGGAAAAGAACGCAAGAUUCUUUGAUGUGAAAACUUAGAAAAUAGUACACCAAAACGGAAUGACAACCUCACCCUGCUUGGGUCCACAAACCACCACACCUUUUUGUGGGCCCAUCCAGGACUGUCAAGAUAGCAAGAAAUAAAUGUCUAUUAAAUGCAGCCAUUCUGGGCGCCUGGGUGGCGCAGUCGGUUAAGUGUCCGACUUCAGCCAGGCCACGAUCUCGCGGUCCGGGAGUUCGAGCCCCGCGUCAGGCUCUGGGCUGAUGGCUCGGAGCCUGGAGCCUGUUUCCGAUUCUGUGUCUCCCUCUCUGUCUGCCCCUCCCCCGUUCAUGCUCUGUCUCUCUCUGUCCCAAAAAUAAAUAAACGUUGAAAAAAAAAAAAUUAAAAAUAAAUAAAUAAAUAAAUGCAGCCAUUCUGAUUUUGGGUUAACUUGUUAUUGAAAACUAAUCCUUAAUUUCAUCCUGAGUGAGAGUGUUGAUUUAUUGAUCUUUUACAUGUAAAUUAUCUAAUCAUGGUGGACCAUCCAGAGAGAGGACUUGUCAAGUUCAAUUCAGCCUUGUUCAAAAGGAGCUGAGCAGUCGUUUAGAUCUACCAGUGAGGGAGCUGCAGUGAAUCAAUACACUGUAUUUAUUGUGUAUUUAUUUUGACAUUAAAUAUAUAGGUUUUUUUAAAGUUUAUUUAUUUUGAGGUGGGGUGUUGCAGAGAGGGGGAGAGAGAGAAUCUCAAGCAGGCUCUGGGCUGUCAGGGCACAGCUGGACUUCAGGCCCAGUCUCAAGAACCAUGAGAUCAUGACCUGAGGCGAAAUCAAGAGUCAGAUGCUUAACCAACUCGGCAACCCAGGCGCCCCUAAAAUGGAACAUUUUGUCAAGAAAGAUUUCAUGGAGAUUCUGGUAAUCCAAGUAAUAGAGUAGCAUUCAUGAUCCUAUUAUCUAUCUACCUAUCUUCUAUCUUUUUUUAUUUACUACCUACCUUUAUGCUAUUUUUGUUGAUUGAUUAAUCAGUGAUACACAUAUAAAGUUAGGUUCUUUCCCUCCAGCUUCAGCUAGGUGAGGUUUUUGUGUGAUCCUAAUGACAAGUACACAAACAUCAAGCGAUCAAGGAAAAAGCAGUCCCUUAAUCUGUUAUUGCUGACAUUGAUAGGUACUAGAUAGUAGCUCUUUAUCAGGAAAUGUGUUUAUAAGUCACUCUAAAAAUUUGAAAAAAUUUUAAGCCCUGCCAAAUUUGCAAAAAUAUGCAUAAUACUAAAGAAAUACUGGAGAAAAACUAGGUGAUCUUAGAAAAGAAUUAAUUGGUAGGAGAUGAAAAUAUGACUCUACAACCAUGACAACAAAGAAUAUUAAAGAGAGAGAACAAUGGAAAGGAAAAUAGUGAAAUAGUAUCAGAUAUGAAUAUAACUAACAGGCAUUAAUUAAGUUGCAGGAGCAGAACAUAAUAAAUAGAGAAUUUUACAAAACAGACAUUAUAAUGAAAAAUACAUGCAAGAGAGUUAAGCCCAUUUAAAAAUAAUAGGACUUUGAGUAACUAUGAAGUUGCCCUAGAGAUAGAUAGUGAAACCUUGGAUUGCGAGUAACCUGUUCUGUGAGUGUUCCACCAGAUGGGCAAACAUUUCUAAUACAUUUUAACCUGAGAAACGAGCGAUGUCUUGUAAUUGUGAGUAGUCCGUGUGCCGAAUGUCACAUGAUUGCAACUGAGCCAGUGGUUCUUGAAAUUUGCUGUGAUAUACACGUGCUUUGGAUUAUAAGCAUGUUUCUGGAAUGAAUGAUGCUUAGAAACCAAGGUAAGCAUAUUAUGAACCAAGUUAUUUGGAGGCCAACAUUGAAAGACCUGGGUGGCUCAGCUGGUUAAGCAUCUGACUUCAGCUCAGGUCAUGAUCUCACGGUUCAUGGAUUCAAGUCCUACAACAGGCUCUGUGCUGACAGCUUGGAGCCUGCUUGGGAUUCUCUCUCCCCCCUCUCUGCCCAACCCUGCUUGCACCCUCUCUUGCUCUCUCUAAAAUAAAAUUUUUUUUAAAAAUAAAGACUAUUUAAACAGUGAAAUAAUAGAGAAGUUAUUUGUGGAUGAUACCAGCAAGAAAAAAAAAAAGGAUAAUCCUAUUUUUAAAUUUUUUUUAACGUUUAUUUAUUUUUGAGAGAAAGAGACAGAGUGUGAGUGCUAGAGGGGCAGAGAGAGAGGGAGACACAGAAUCCGAAGCAGGCUCCAGGCUCUGAGCUAUCAGCACAGAGCCUGACGUGGGGCAUGAACUCAAGAGCGGUGAGAUCAUGACCUGAGCUGAAGUCAGUCACUUACCUGACUGAGCCACCCAGGCACCCCAGUGAUAAUCCUAUUUUUAAAAAGUUUUGACAAUUAUAAAAUACUUACUUUUAAUUUUUUUUUUAUGUUUAUUUAUUGUUGAGAGACAGAGGGAGACAGAGCGUGGGUGGGGAAGGAGCAGAGAGAGAGAGAGAGAGAGAGACAUAGAAUCCAAAGCAGCUCCAGGCUCCAAGCUGUCAGCACAGAGCCUGCCUUGGGGCUCGAACUCACGUACUGGGGAGAUUAUGACCUGCACUGAAGUUGGAGGCUUAUCUGACUCAGGCACCCCUAAAAUACUUAUUUUUAAAAAAGUAGUGAAAAUAUGGGUACUCAGCCACUCAGGCACCCCUAAAAUACUUAUUUUUUAAAAAGUAGUGAAAAUAUGGGUAAAAGGCUAUGGAGUUUUGAAUAGUAGUUGGAGAAAUAAAAGAGAAAAAGGAAACAUUAUUAACCAGUUAACCCAUAAUAUUUUCUGACAUAGACAUCCUUUAAAAACCCACCUUUAGGAAAGAAUGAUUUUAAAUGGAUGUUGAUAUUCUUUCUGAUAAGCAAACCAAACAAGCUAGAAAACAUGAAACCAAAAAUAUUGGUGAAGUCAUCAAUAUAUGUUCUUUGACCAGAUGUCUGUUUAAUAGCAUCCUUGGAUUUGGGAAAGUAAAUACAGGUUACAAAGUUAAUUUGGACUUUGCCUUAAUGAGAAAUAGGGAUUUGAAUGUUCCAAAGCCAGGAAUUAUUAUAACUCUAAUACUGGCUAACAUUUAUUAAGGGAUUUGUGUCAGCCACUGUACUAAGGAUUUUACAUGCUUUAGCAGGAACUAUGAUUAAACCAAUUUUUACAGGUGAAGAAUCUGAACAUAGACAUUUUAACACAGUAGCCAAGGUUGCUCAGAAAUGGAUACUUGUCAGACUGCACAGUGGGACGCCAGAGCCAGCAUGCUCCCCCCUCUGCUGAAUCUGGUGAUACUAGGAAGAGAGACAGUGGAAACUUGGCCUACAGCCUUAAAGUACUGAAUUGCUUCUAUCUAUAUAGGAAAGUGUGUGGUUCCCAUUUUAUUAUAUUUUAUUUUUGAGCUUGACAUUCAUGUAGCAAGGAAUCCAGCAGCACUAACUGUAAUGCCAACACAGUAGUGUUCAUAUACUGGACAGGCAGGCUUGAGCCGAUACGUAAGGUAGCUGUGGUUUACCUCCAAACAAUGUGCAGCCACCACAUACAUAGGAGAGAGGCUCCCUCAGACAGGCCUGCUUUCAUAGGACACCCAGAAGGAAUGGUCUCACAAAUCAUCAUGUCGAAUACUAAUAAAACUAAUACCAACAAUGACAAAAAUAACAAACUCCAGGUAGAAUUUUACUGAAACUUUUUCAGGCAUACUGAGGAGGGAGUUAGCAUCUCAUGGUUCAGAGUGAAGUUCUCAACAAUCACUUAACCAUCUCUACUCUCUAAUUUUUCUUUUCCUUUUUUUUUUAAUGUUUAUUUUUGAGAGACAGAGACAGAGCACAAGUGGGGGAGGAGCAGAGAGAGAGGGGGACACAGAAUCCCAAGCAGGCUCCAGGCUCCAAGCUGUCAGCAUAGAGCCCGACACAGGGCUCAAACUCAUGAACGAUGAGAUCAUGACCUGAGCUGAAGUAGGAUGCUUAACUGACCAAGCCACCCAGGCGCCCCUACUCUUUAUUUUUUCUAAGAUCACUCCAAUGUUUUUAUAAGUUUUCAUUGUCUCUCUUUUUCUUCUCUUUCAGCUCUUUUCAGGGCCCCCUCAACCUGUGUUUCCUCUUCUCCCUUAACUCUGAAUCAUCUGCUGAGUGUUUCUCUUUGUCUUUUUUAUGUAGCACAAUGUAUCCCUCUCCUCCAUCCACAGUUUUGCAUGGUCAUCUAUCAUUUCCCUUAACAAAAAGUAUCUCAGGAGUAACUCAUUUAAGAAGAUUCAGGGUGAGGGGCUCCUGAGUGAUUCAGUAGGUUGGCUGGCAUACUCUUGAUGUCAGCUCAGGUUCAUGAGUUCAGGCCCCAUGUCAGGCUCUGGGAUGGGUGUCGAGCCUGCUUGAAAUUCUCUUUUCUUUAACUGCUUGCCUGCGUACCUGCUCCUAAAAAAAAAAAAAAAAAGAAGGUUCAAGGUGGUGGGGAUGAUAACUUACCACAUUUUCUCCAGUCACACUUGUGACUUUCAGGAUCUGAAUGGAUACAUGUCACCUCCUGUUAUCCAGUUUCUCAUGCCUUUUGUUCCAUCCACACUGACCUCUGUGCUGACCCUUGGACCUGCCAGGCACAUCUUUGUUUUGUUUUCUCUCCCUGAAAUGUUUCCCACAAGGUUCAUUUCUUUAUCUUCUUCCUCUUUCAUCAAAGUGAUCUUCCAAGAGAGACUCAAAAAUCUCAAUCUCUGACAUUUCCUCCUGGCUUUCUUUGUAACACUUAACCACUCUCUAACAGAGUAUGUAUUUUACUUCCAUGCAUAUUUUACAUCUAUUUCCCUUUCAGAAUUUAAAGCAUAGGAAGGUAGGAACUUCUGUCUUCUUUUGUACACACUAUGUCUUCAGAGCUAAGAAUAGGGUGGGGCAGGCAAAGCUCGUUACAUAUUUGUGUUUGAAUAAAUUGUAUCUAAGUGCCAACACAUUGCUGGUGGGUACAUUUUCAACUAAUGACUGAUUGACUUACUGAAGAAACGAGCAAACUUGCAGGGAAUCAGAGAAUUUAAGAAUUUAAAUCAGAGAAUUGAAGUGAGUGGAAUCUGAGAGUUGAGAGAUCAUAUGCUUCAUCCAUCCAGUUUCACAGAUAAGGAGAUCGGGACCCAGAUUGUAGGGAUUUAUAGAUCCAGUGACCCUCACCCCACAAGUGAGAAGCAAGAUUGCGAUGAUUAUAUAGUCAUCUGACCUCUGAGUCCAGUGCCCUGUGACAUGUGUAGAUACAUAUUAGGAAAAGAAUUAAAUAUAUUUUAUAUUAUUCUAAGGUUUAUUUUAUCAGAUAUUGAUCAGAACAUUUGAGUAAACCUCCCUGAAUCUUAGCUUGGUGUCACAUUCAUUUUCAGGGCUUAAGCCUGGGUCGCUUCUGGCUUGGGCUGGUUUAUUGUCAAAGCCCCUGCAACUUGUCUUUCAGCUACUGGAUAUUACUUCUCACUGUAUGAGCCACGGGUGAUCUUUUUAAUUCCACUAAGCUGCUGAAGCUAAUAAAAGUAAAGGUCUUUUUGCCUCUGUAGCACUCCCGUUGAUGCAGAAAUGUUUCUUCUAUGUUCUCUUGCACUAAAUCCUCUCGUUUCUUAAUUAUCCAGAGGAUGGAAAACCAAAAGAAAAGAGCAUUUGUGCCCAGCCCAUACUGGAACAGGGGAAAAUAGUUUCCAAACUAUUCCUACUUUUAAAAUAGACUUAACAAGUAGAAAAUCUCUUUCGCUUCAAUCUUCUACAUUAUUUGCCAUUUAAAAGUGACUCAGAAACGAUCUUCGUUUUUGGCAUGGGCAAAAGAAAAACCCUGGGCUCUUGUUGUUUACAUUGAUGGUGAUAAUGGACCAUUUGUUGCUUUUUAAUUAUUGUAUACUUCAUAGCAGAGUGGACUAUGUUCUUAAAGUCAAAUGUAAUUAAUGGUUUCAGCCUAAGAGAGGCAUAAUGAUAACUCAGUAAUUCCGUCCAUUCAGAGAUAAGGAAACAGGUAAAAUAUCUUGUCUGAGGGCACAUAGCUAGAAACUGGAAGAAUGUAGGUUUUAAUUCAGAUCAUUCUGAUUCUAAUAGCUAAGCACUUUUGACUAUAGUAUGGCCAUAAAGGAGAGUUGUCGUUCCCCUGUAGAGUAGUAUCAACGGCUCCCAAGCUAUUUUGAAAGAGCUUUUAUUUAUUUUAAACAUUUAAAUUGGAUUCUGGAUGCAUAGACUCUCAAGACUGAAAAAUCUCUGGUGUCCUCUAAGCCAUCCUCUCUUGGCAGCUUUGAUCUCUAAUGCAGUGUCUGGGCCACUGAGCAUCUGGUAUCCUACUGAACAAUUUGAGGGAUAGGGAACUUAGUCAUUACCUCCAAAAUAGGAUUCAGUAUAAUUCUGACUACUAGAAGAGUCAUUUAUUUUGAUAUAAGUUCUACAUCUCUAAAACUUUUGAGUUGUUGGAACCGAAAUAUAUCCAGUUCAUCGAGACUAUGUUUUAAUUCUCUCAUUUAUCAACCUCUUCCAGAGUAAAGAAUCAGAACAGAGCACAAUACCUUCAGACCUCACUGUAAUAAUAUAUUUGGCGAGGGGCAUGGCCCCAAAAUUAAAAUGCUGCUUAGUGGUACAAGGAGGUUCAGGAAAUUUAACCGUGAUGGACUUGGGGUCCAAAGGUCUGUCUUAUGAUACAAAUCUACCUUGAUCCCUGCUGUGCUUUGGUGCCACCUGGUGGUGGAUGCUCUUUGACAGAUGCUUUGAUGUUUGCGGUGGGUACUCCGGUUGAUUAGAAAAAAGCAGCCUUAAACAAUGACACAAGUUAAGUUCGUUAUAACAAACUGAUAAUUUCAGAGAAUAAGAACAGUGGUAAAUAGAACAAAAAUAUUUUAUUGAGAGUGGAAGUAAGGAAAAGCCUCUUUGAGGAGGUGACAUUUAAAACUUAAAUGAUUAUAGGAGUCAGUCUAACCACCACCCCCCACCCCAACCCCAGUUAAUGGUAAGGGAAGUAGCAGAUACAAAGAUCAUCAGGAAUAUAGAAACAACAUAUUUAAAAAACUGCAAAAAGCUCAAUGAAGCUGACAAGUUGUUAAUAGAAGGAGCUGUUGAUAGGAGGGUAGUUGUUAACUGCAGAAGUAGCCAGAACCCUGAACUUGAAGGAUCUUAAAAAGAUUUGAGGUUUGAAGGAUCUUGAAAAGAUUUGAGGUUCUCAGACUGCAGGGGGAAGCCAUUAAGGUUGGGAUUGAUAUUACUGAAGCGAGACCAAGAGUAAAAGCAGGGAGACCAGUUAAGAGAUUAUUGAAAUGGUUCCGCUGAGCCGGGCUUAUAGCUUGAACUAGAAUGGAUAAAAAUAGACGCAUUGGCUGAUUUGGGGGGAAUUUGCUUUCUCUUGAUUCCAUUUUGUUUUCUCUUUUUCUCUUAUGUGGUUUAUGCCCACAUAAUGCCCUGCAUUUUAGAAUGAAGAAAAUGAGGUAAUUAGAAGCACAACUGAUUGGAUUAAAACCAGUUUUUUGGAGUUUGUUUUCAUUUGUCUGUUUACCUAGAUAGACCAUCAGAGAUAACCCUCUGAGUUGUAUACAUUAAAAGUCUAUCAUUAUUUGUGUCACGUUAGAGAAUAACAGGAAACACUUCUGAUGUCACAUUGACCAUCUGACUUCCAAGCAGGUACCAAAGAAGAGAAUGAAAAUGGGGCUUAGAAAGAAUGUUUUCUUCCUUCCUUAUUCUACCAAGGGGUUCAGCUUCCUCUCAGGUGUGAAUAAGGAAGGUGCACACAGAGGCAGCAUAAUUUCAUAAGUAAGAACACGGGUUCUGAUACAAGACUGCCUCACCUCUGUUCCACGUCUUCCACUUGGUUGGGCAAGUUACAUAAUCUCUUUAUGCCUCAUUUUUAAAUCUAUAAAAUGAAGAUGAAAAUAGAACCCACUGCAUGGAGUUGUUGGGAUAAUGGAAUGAGUAAUAUAAAGUAGGUGUUUAGAAGAGCGUCUGGCAUAUAAGCCUUGUUAAAAAAUAUUAGCUUUUAAGUUUGUGAAAGAUCAGUAUGCGGUUGUUAAAUAGUUUGAAAAGUUGUCACCAAUAAGAGGGUUAUAUAUUUAAAGUAAGCAUAAAAGUACACUGUUUCACUUUUUCUAUGUGCAACCUGGAGAUGAGUCACGUACUGGAAAUACUUUCUUGCCAACUUGAACACCCAAAAAAUCCAACAUCAGCAAAAGGGCAAAAUGAAGAAGGAAAAUGAAAGGAACAUCUAGGGUUUCCACUUACGUCCUCUUUUCUAUUAAGAAUUUGAAGGGAGAGGCUCUUGGUAGAUGUUUGCUAUUUUCCAAAGAUGGAAAUCUGUUGGAGGAACCUCUACACUUAAGAGCAUUUUGACACCUCUAAUUAGUGUAUUGCAAAUAAAGAAGAAAACAAAUAAGACAAGGCAGGCCAUGGACUUUACAGUGACUAACCUUAAAUACAACUAAAGACAUAAACUCUGUGAUGCGUUUUCUCUUAAAGAAUUUUAAGAGAUGCUAGAAAAUAGUUUUGUCUGGAUAACUGAGUUGGAUUGUAAACAACAGUCUGCAAGAGUCAUAUUUCCCAAGAUGGCACUCUUUUUUUUUUUUUUUUUGUAAACCAGCAGACCGCUUUGGCAAUAGCCAAAACAUUCAGGAAUAACUGUUAAUGACAUAGCCAGAUGUGCCUUAGAGAAUCAACUGUCUGGCCAAACCACCAAAUUCUACAGAAAGGGAGAAUGAGCUCAGCAGGUAGAAAAAAUUCCAUCAUGCAUGAUGUAUGCUAGGAAUAUUAUUGUGACUCAAUAGCAUGGUCUUUAUUUCCUAUUGGGUUUAAAACUCUUCCUUAAAGAAGCCCGUUUUCUUCCAGUGUUACUGCAAGAUAACAAAUACACCUUCCUAAGUCAUAGCCUGGUGUCCUGAAAGCAUUCACCUGUGUUCAGCAGGCUUGAUUCAUUUCCAGGGCACCCUGUACUCAGUGGUGAUUCUCGCUGAUUACAGAAGACAAGCCAGAAUUAGUCAUUCAAAUGUUUUAUUACAUAAGAGCUGUUUUACUAUGUUUUGUUUAUUAAGAAUUUAUUUUUUAAACAAAUUAUGAUUUGAAGAUACUUCAGUAAGGAAACACUGGGUUAUCCUUAUAUUAGCAGGGAAUGCUUUCUCACUUCUUGGAACCUCCUCAGGCUUCCCCUUGAGGUUCUUUACCAGAGGAGGCCUCUCCCUUCCUGUCUCUCUCUCCUCAGAGGAGGUGGAGGAAGAGGAUUUAUCUGAAUAGAGAGUUUGAGAGCUCAUUCAGGGCAACUUCUUUGUUUCUCUGUGUUUCUGUCUGUUUCAGUGUCUCUCCCUCCAUUUCAGCCAGAUGCUGGCAAGAAGAUGCAUUCUCAGCUGUACCUUUUCCCACAAGAGCUUUUCUUGCCUGUAGGUGUUUUGCAAUCUCAUCUGCUUUCUGUCAUGCGGUAACCUUAUCAGAUUAGGUUCUGGGUGUGGGUCGGAGAAGAGGACUGAGAAGGAUCAGGCAGUUUGUUUUUGAAAAGGAAGUACAUUCAGUUCAGAGGCAUGGAAGUAAGUCCACUUGAGCUAUUGAUGCCAAUGAGUGCCUAAUUGCUAGCGGAGUGGGAUAGGGCUAGGAUGUCUCAGGGAUGAAGGAAUGAGACUCGAGGGGUAUCCACUGGCUUAUAAAGUAUCUCCAGCGUUUGAGCAAGGUGGAGCAGGUGUAAUUGUAAGGGCUGUAACGCUGAUUAGUAAGCUGCUCUGUGCCAUUUAUACACCAAGGGAAGAAAAUGAUAGUGGCAGAGGACUUAACUCUUAGGUCAACAUGUGAAAGCUGAAAGGCCUCCAUGGUAGCAUUUAAAGACCUCCUCAUCUCCUGAAGUCACAGGGCGGACCAUUGUAAAGUUCAGUCCCAGGACCUGGUUUUCAGACUAGCAGAUUUACAAAGAUGGUUGAACUAACAGCCCUCAAAAGUUUCCUUGGUUAAUGUCAAAGUGCUGAUAAAGGAAUGAGAUCUUGAGAUAUGGACGAAGAAUGUGUAGUAGAUGACUGUCCUGGAUACCCAGACUCUCAGCUCUACCCUGAGCCUUCUAAGCCAACAGGAGUGUCUCCUUCCCCUUGCUGUUGGACAGCACCCUCUCCUUGCUUGGAGACAACUUAAAGUCCUCAUGUGAGAGAUGUGCCUCUCAAGGUGUCUCUGGCCUCAAAAUCUGCCCUAACAUCCCCCAUGGCUUCUGAACCACAAACUAGAUUCAGUCUCAAUGUGGCCUGACCAGGGAAAUAUUGGGAGGAAAUAGGUUAUUCAUCAAAAAUAUCUCAGGGGGCACCUGGGUGCCUCAGUUGGUUGAGUGUCUGACUUUGGCUCAGGUCAUGAUCUCACAGUUCGUGAGUUCGAGCCUUGCCUCAGGCUCUGUGCUGACAGCGUGGAGCUUGGAGCCUGCUUCGGGUUCUCUGUCUCUCUCUCUCUCUCUCUCUCUCUCUCUGUCUCUCUCUCUCUCUGCCCCUCCCUCGCUCAUGCUCUUUCUAUCUCCAAAAUAAAUAAACAUUAAAAAAAAAAAAUCUCAGGACCUAGUUAAUGUGUACUGGCAGGGACCAAAAGAGCACGCUGGGUACUGGAUAAGGAUACCUAUAAUUUAAGGUUUAAUGUCUUAGCAAGUAUACUUCUAGCUAUUCCUAACAGGCUGCCAAUAUAGCUCCUUGAAGUUGGGGGAAAAAAAUGAUAGCUGGAAAAGCUGGAAAUGCAUGGAUAAAUACUAACAAAAAGCUCAGACAACUAGUCACGUCAGAAAAGAUUUAUUAGGUAACACCAGCGAAGGGUUGACUGUGUUUCCCAGAAGGUCCCAAAGGAAACUCCCAUUCACUUGAGCCUUAGGAAUCUUCUAGUGAAGGAGGACCAGCAUGAUAAAGAAGCUCAGAUGGCUGUUCUUUGUAGGCAGGGCGGAGAGUAUGCUCUACUCGUAAGGGUCUGGGUUCCCUCAAGGUAAUAGGAUUCCAGGCUAGCAAAGGCCACGUGGCAGCACUUAAUGAUCAGAGUCUAGAUGGAUGCAAUUACUAUCAUGGGCAGUACUGUCAGAGCCAACCAGGGAGCCCUGACCCAUAGGGAUCGGUCAAUGGUAAUGAUUUAUAGACCAUGGUGAUCGUAGGGUCAAGAUAGAUGGACAGCCAGCAAAAGUAUCCUGUAACAUCUAAAAUAAAAAAUGCUAAAGAGUGUAAGAAGAGAAGGCUUUUGUCAGCCAUAGCAAAGUCAUGAUCCCUUGCCAGUUUCCAUACAUGAGCCUGUUCUUAGACCUGGAGUUCAAAGACUUAAAAACUAACUUCCUUUGAGGAAAGAUUCUUAAAUGUCUAUGUAAUGUUUAUAUUGUGAUUCUUAGUCCUCCUUCUUGGGAACCUAUGACCAUUUCACAGGUAACAUGUAUUCUAUGGGGAAAGGAAUAUCUUUCAGGGUAGUUUGAUACAGGGUGCGAGAGGACUUUAAAGGAGGGUAUAAAAACAUCAUCAUGUCUCCCCUGCAAGAGUGCAGGGGGGCCAGUGAUAGUGUCUUGGCUCAAAGUUGGUCUCACAGUGGGCCCAGUAUGUCAUUUUUCCUGGUCUCUGAGUGCACAAUUGGUAUGGAUAUACUUGGUAGCUCGCUGUACCCUCAUGCUGUUUUUCUGGCCUGUGGAGUAAGAGCCAGAAGGGGAGAAGAGGCCAAGUAGAAGCUCUUGAGCUUGCUGACUUUGGCCAAGAUAAUAAGUCAGAAACAAUACGUCAUUCUAUGUGCAAUUACAGGGAUCAGUGCUAACCUCAAAAACAUAAAAGGAUACAAAUUACUAUUAUAUCCCCAUUUAACCUACCAGUCUGGUUGUACAAAAGUGAGAUGAAUUAUGGCAGAUGAUGUGAAACUAUUUAUUGGGUAACAUGGAAGGCUGUUACUUUAGAAUGGGACUUUUCGGUAUGUUCAGCCUGCAUUACCAGCCCUGCUGCUACUUGGGCCAUAUGUCAUGGCAGAUCCUAUGUGCUAGAGAUUUCUUGAUAAGGAUGCCAUGUACGUUUUCUGCAAGCCCCAAAAGAAGCAUCAUAGCAUAGACACCCCACACUUCUGGAACAAUAUGACAUCAUCUACUACAGGGAACUUUUCAUCUUUUGAAAAGUAACUCCUUGGGGUGCCUGGGUGGCUCAUUCAGUUAAGCAUCUGAAUCUUGAUUUCGGCUCAGGUCAUGAUCUCAUGGUUCUUGAGAUUGGGCCCCACAUCCAGCUCUGUGCUGACAGUGUAGAGCCUGCUUGGGAUUCUCAUUCUCCCUCUCUCUCUGCCCCUCCCUUGCCCUACUCUGCUGCUGGACCAUAACAGACGCUUGACAUCUAUGGUACAUGUCCAUCUGUAUCUGGGUUUUGUCGACCCACCAAGUAAUCAUAUUGAAGGUAAAGCAUAUGAAGGAAAUGAUACAUUCAAGUUCAGACCCAAAGGAGCCUGGAGGGCAGAAAGAAGUUAAAGAUAAUCCAAAUUUCCUCUUCCAGACACCUUUCCUUAUUGCACUAAUGCAGUUCCCUAUGACCAGCUGACAAAACAUGAUGGGUUCAGGCUGUCAUGUUAGCAAAAUUCAAGAGUGUAUUGCUGCUUUAAUCGCACUCAAGAUUGUCCUGAAAGAUAUCAGUGAGGCAAAAUCCUCCUAUGGGCAGAACUUUGAAUGGUAUACACAAUCAUCAAGUAGGUAUGGAAGGGAAGUGAUCUGAGGUAAGACUAUGCAUGUGCCUAUAUCCCUGACACUCUGACUAUAUCCAUGGCAGCACAGUGCUUGAAAAAUUGGCCUUUAAACAGAGUACUCAGAACAUCAAGGAUAAAGGUUUACACAUGUAUGCUAAAGGCUGCCCAGCUAGUAUACAUUUACUACCAUUGCUGAAUCUCAACCAAUCAAAAGAAAAAAAAAAAAAAAGGAUGUUAACCUCCCAAUAUGGCACCGUUCUUCAAGAAACCAAACAGCCACUGGGUGGCAAGUUGAAAAUCAGACCUCUUUCAUCCUGGAGGGAUGGAUACAUGUUUGAGUAUAUGUUUUUCCAUCUUUUCCAGUGUUAAGGGGGCAGCACAACUCUCUAUGUCUGAAUACCUAGAAAGCUUCCAAUCUCUUCCACUUUUUGCUUCUUCUGGCAAAGCUGGGGUAACAUAUCCACAUUGUUUGCCUGUUUUGCUCACUGACAAAGCCAUAGCCCAACAGAAGGGAACGGUAUUUCCCUCAUACACCUUGUGUCAGUCAAGCCAGUUUCAGAGACCAAAGGCUGCCUAGAGACUCUUGUAGACCCAGAGGUUUGGGUCCAGCAUGAGUGCAGAGCAAAAUCCUGAUCAAUUCUGUUCAGUGCUUAUCUCUGCUGAACUUCUGUACUGCUUCUCAAGUAAGAUGCACACAAAAAUAAGGUCUGUGGGAGACUCACCACUCCUUUACAGAUUCAUGUUGCCCAAGACUGACUUAUUCAGCUGUCCUUUUCUGCUAGAACAAACAAGUAAAACUUAACGAUAUAGAAAGCUUGGUGACAUUUUCCUCUAGCAUCCCCAAACUGAAGAAGAUGGUAAUUAAGUCAUUUCCUGUAUAAUAAACACAGCAAAAUAUUAAAGUGAAGCUAAUCAGCCUGAGGAGCAUUACUAAAAAGGAAGGGGAAGGAAGAGAGGGAGAUAAAUCACUCGUGGGUGCCAUUGGGAGGAAAUAAGGCAAGUAAGACUUGAAGUUUGUGUUUGGUAAUAAUCUAAUUACAGCUACCCACUGUGGUGCAGAGUAAAUUUAAUUUUUAUUACCCAAACGCAGCCUUCUGUUCUCACUGUGAUAAGCAUUACCCUAAGAACUAGCUUAUGGGACUCAAACGGAUUGACUUUUGGGGUUGGUGUCCUGAGGUGUCUUAAUAAUUUCAUCCUCACAUAAGAGAGUGCAGAGGAAUACCUGGAUGGAUAAAGUAUCAAUGGCAAUGUAAUGGCAGAUGUGGUGGGAAUAACAUUUUGCCUUAUUCUUUCCAUUUAAAAACCGUAUUUGUUAUAAUAUGUUUUCUCCUUUGCUUUGCUUUUGCUGGAUGAAUCCGGUUUUUCCUCCUCUUUCUUGCCUUGUACUGGCAACUUGAUAUUACUAUUAUAGAGUUCUACUUUUCUAAUGGCUAACUUCCUAUUUCUAAGUACUAGCAUUUCAUUCUAUACUUUUCGGUUGAUGAAACAAAUUUAAAUAAUAUCAUUCCUGGCAGUUUAUUCCCCAGACAUCAAAAAGAGUUCUGAUAUGAAACCCAGCCUCCACUGAUUGCACAGGUAUGGGAGUGAGCAGAGGGGACGUGUGUCACAUGACAGUUUCUGGGUGAAAACCAUCCAAUAUUGGUGGCUGUGGUGGGGGUUGUUGAAUGAUUCAAGGGCAAACACAAGAGCCAGUGACUCAGACUGCCUCAGUUCUUGUGCUUUUAUUACAGUAAAACCUUGGUUUGUGAGCAUAACUCAUUCCGGAAACAUGCCUGUAAUCCAAAGCACUUGUAUAUCAAAGUGAAUUUCCCCAUGAGAAAUAAUGGAAACUCAGAAGAUUUGUUCCGUAACCCAAAAAUAUUCAUAUAAAAUGAUUAUAAUACUGUAAUACAAUACAAAAUAAUAAAAUAGAAAAUAUAAAGAAAAAUAAACAAAUUAACCUCAACUUACCUUUGAAAACCUUCAUGGCUGGUGUGAGGGAGACAAGAGAGAGGAGGGUUAUUGUGCAGGACAACUCUCACUAUCACUAACAGAAUCACUGCUAUCUAUCGGCUCAGUGGAUUCUUCUUCUGCAUGGGGCCAUUGUAUUCACUUGCACAGAUGAUGACUACAGUACAGUAUUAAUAAACUCUUGUUACAUACUGUAUUUAAUGUAGUUGGCACUAUGGCAGCAGAGGAAAGGGUCUGUAUCUGCAGGCAGCCUGACCUAGAAUGAAGCAAAGCAUUCCUAAGCUCACUCUUAUAGGGAAAAGCAAAGGACUGUCCAUAGAUGCUUUGAAGUGACAAAAACUACACUAGUGUCAGUUGCUGGCACCUUCCAACAUUCUGAAAAAUCACUGAUUUUUGGCAAACACCAUGGCCUGAGACCAAGCAUCUGAGGAUGGGAGACGAUCACCCACAGUCCUGCAGGGGGAGACAGAGAGAGAACAAGAGGAGUACCAUUGGCUCAGUUGUGAUCAUGUGACGUUCGGUGUCACAUACUACUCAUAUUACAAGACAUUACUCGCUUAUCAAGUUAAAAUUUAUUAGAAAUAUUUGCUCAUCUUCCAGAACACUCACAGAGCAAGUUACUCGCAAUCCAAGGUUUUAUAUAUUUGCAUUUUUCUCCCCAGACCCUGCUGUACUUUCUCAUCUUGUGGUUAUUGAUAGGUCCUGCUUUAAAAAAAAAAAAAAAAAAAAAAAUCCCUGAACUUUUGGAUUUGUGUCUUUUUUUUUUAAGGUUUUUUUUUUUUUUUUCUGGAAUUUCAGAGUUUCCUCAUCUAGAUUUUGAGACCAAAUUGUUCCUGUCCGCUUUAUGUUUUUAAGAAUUCCCCAUUUUGCUGGUUUUGUUGUGCCAACAUUUCCUGUUAUUGGAGCCCCUAUGAGUUAGACUUGAUAUUUAAUCUGUAAUUGAAGCUGCAUUUUUUUUAAGGAAGGCAAAGCCAUGACAUACAUGGCUAUUGUGGUCUCUAUGCUAAAAUCCAGAGAAAGGGAUUGAUUGAGUAAAUGAGAAAACAACAGAUCAUUGGGGGUUAUUUAUAUUUUGUUUGUGAAAUGCGAUUGAUACAGAAACUCAUGAAACGUUUCCGGAGGCAGUAUGCCUUAGAUCAAAUUUGAACAUCAUAUAACUCAUACUCAGUACUUCGUUUAAUGCAAAAACAGCACAAACAUUUAGAUUUUAUUUUCAAACAGUUUUAAGAAUCACUCAAGAGGAAGAUGUUGAUCCUCAUGACGUCUUGCAUUUAUUAUUUUUAUUCUCCUAGCCACUUGCUUUCCUUUUUCUUUGGAGUCAAACAUGCAGGGUCUGUCAGUCAUGAAUCCGCCUUUUUUCACUACUUUUUUUGUUUUCUACAUUGGCAUGUUCCACUUAGUUCUUACUUUCCACUGUAUCCCUGUAUUGGAGGCUAGUUGUGAAAAGAGAGUUGGAGCUGACUCCGUGUGUGUUUACCCAGAAUUUCACCACCCACUGUUCCUUGUCAUUAAUUGAAAGAGAAAAUAGAAGCUAACAGGAACCAGAGUUGAUGUGGCUUACAAAGUUAAUGAAGUGGAGGAAAUAUGAAGAUUCGGGAGAUGAAGGACGACGCACCCCAUGAAUUACAGAAAUAACUACUCCGAAUUGAACGAGUUCCUGAUGUUUUUUUGGAUGCAUAUUCUUAAAAUAUCAAGGGCUGUGUACAAAAACACGAAGUAAUUAGAAAUCCAGAAAAAUUAAUGGAAAUAGAUUCACUUUGCCAUAGAAAGAAGAGAAUCAGGAGUUUGGAAAGAGUUGAUUUAAAAAAGAUUGGUACGAUACGAAAGAGAAUUAAGAAAUAAUGAAGAGAGAAAUGUAUGUCUCGAAAGCACUUAGGCUGUGAUAUAAGAGGUCAGUAUUUCAGUGCAAUAAAAUUAUGUAACUAGGAAAUAUCAACCAAUAUAUGGCUCUAACCACCUAUGCAUAAAAACCUAGACAACGUCAUCUCUACGGACAUAACAAUGUAAAUAUGUUUUGGGGGGGAUUUUUUUUUUUAAGUGAAUAGCACAACAAUUCAAGGGAAAACAGCUUUAUUGAGUAAGAUGUUUUGAUAAGCUUGUUAACCGGGACAAAAGCAUUUCAGGUUAGUUCCCAGAUGAAAGAGAAAGCAAUUCUGCAACAUAAAAGGUGGGGGAAAUAAAGGGAUGCUCAGUGUUGCCCUAAGGGUGCAGAAAAUGGUUAGUAUCGCUGACAAAACACUUUCAAAAGACCAGGCAUAUCUAGUGAGAAUUUACCAAAUUAUUUGUUAGUGACUUUUACUUAAAUCUUUUCUUUCAUCUCACCCAUAAAAUUUUCAACAAAUUCUCAGUUGCUCACUAAUGCUUUUUGUGAAUGGAUUGUUUCCAUGGGAUAUUUUAAAACUUCAGGGGAAGUAGUGUGAUCUAUGAAGAAAAUCAAAAUACCUUGGAAAACCAAAAGCUUGCAACCACAGCCAGUCUGAUUUGCGAAACUUGGAAACACAGUAAAAAUAUUUCUUUCAUUUAGGAAAUGACAGAAACUACCUACUCCUAUAUAUUAUGCUACUUUUAGUCAUUCAACCUUGAAUUAUGGACUUUCUACCCUUCAUAAAGCACUCGUUAGCACAAUUGAAUGAUUAAGUUUACUUAAAAUGGGAUAGUGAGUAGCAAUUAGAUCUUAUAUAAUCAAAUACCAAAGUAAUGUAAUGGACACUAAGUAUAAUGAGUAUUCAGAAGUAUAGAUCGCUCUGAAGAGAUAACUGGGGAAAGAACUCAAAAAGGAAAUUAAAUAUGAACUAGAUUUUAAAAGAUAGGUGAAAUUGCUUUCCUUCCUGCCUUCCUGCCUUCCUUCCUUCCUUUCUUCCUUUCCCUUUCCUUCUUCCUCCCUCCUUCCCUCCCUCCCUCCCUCCUUUCUCUUUCUCUCUUUCUUAUUUCCUUCUUUUCUUUCCCUUUCCCUUCUUUCCUCCCUCCCUCCCUCCCUCCCUCCCUCCCUUCCUUCCUUCCUUUCUUUUCCUUUCCUUUCUUUCUUUCCUUCUUUCUUUCUUUCUCAGUAGGCUUCACACCCACCAUAGAGCCCAACAUGAAGCUUGAAUUCAUGACCCUGAGAUCAAGAUUAAAGCUGAGAUUGAGAGUCAGAUGCUUAGCUGACUAAAUCACCCAGGUACCCAGAUAGGUGUAAUUUUUUUACACAGAGAAUGGAGUGGACAUUGAGGGACAAGAAGAAGGGGGAUGUGUGAGUAACAGUGUGGAGAUGUGGGCAAAGCACAAAUGUGUUUGAGGAAGAGUGGACAUAAAGUUCCAGUGGCAAGUGAGAAUGGUAGCAAAAUAAGCCAGAAAUCAGAGUCUGAUCCUACUUCACAUGUCUGAUCCUCAAUCACAGCAUUACCCAGGCUCUCUAGGACUUGUGGAAGUAUGGGGAUUGGUGGAGAUUCAGAGGUCCCUGAGGCUUGGAAUGUUGAGGUUAGGCUGUGGUGGAAUGUAUCCAAGAAUUCUGAACCCACAAAUCUCACAGAACUCCCUUUGCCAGCAGAGGCCCCCUUUCUUUUGUCCUCCAAUGAGCUGGCUCUGCUGUACUUAAAGACCUCUGAAGUAGUGACCUCCUCUGAAGCAGGCAUGUGAACAUGGAUUUAUUUUAUUUUAUUUUUUUAUGUUUGUUUAUUUUUGAGAGAGAGAGACAGACAGAGCACUAGCAGGGGAGGGGCAGAGGUAGAGACAGAAUCCGAAGUAGGGUCCAGGCUCUGAGCUGUCAGGACAAAGCCUGAUGUGGAGCUUGAACCCACGAACCACAAGAUCAUGACUUGAGCCGCAUUCCGGUGCUUAACCAACUGAGCCACCCAGGUGCCUGGAGAAUGGAUUUUUAAAGUGCUGGAUCAUAGAAGAAAGGACAUGUCAUUUCCUGGGCCAUUUCACACACAUACCCUCAAUUUCUUCAUAUAAUUUGGCAAAAUCUUGCAAUUCUUUUUGGGUAUAAACCAUCUCCUUCUGGGUCAGACUUUGUGUUUGUUCCCUGACCUGUUAGUUUUACAUGGCUGCUAUUACAAAACUACCACAGACUUGGUGCUUAAAACCACACAAGUUAAUUCCCUUAGAGUUCUGAUUAUCAGAAUCCCUUAAUGGUGAGUCAGCAAGGCUGAGUUACUUUUGGAAGCUCUAGGAAAGAAUCGGUUGCCUUUUCCAUCUUCCAGAGGCUGUCAGCAUUCCUUGACUCAUAGCCCCAUCCUCCACCUAGAAAGCCAACAGUGUGGCAGCUUUGAAUCUCUUUUUCUCAAUCUGACCCUUCUCUCCCCCUCUGAUGAGGAUUCUUGUGAUUAUACUGAACUCACUCAGAUAAUUCGGGAUAAUCUUCCCAUUUCAAGAACCUUAAUUUAAUCACAUCUACAAAGUCCCUUCUGUAAGAUAACAUAUUCAAGGGUCCCAAGGAUUAGGAUUGUUAAAAUAAUUGAACAAGAGGCCAUUCAAUUGAGGUGGCUGUAAUGAUUGGUAGCCCAUAUAAGCAAACCAAAACCUAAGCCAGAGUCAAUUUCUAUAAGUGCUCUCAUACCCCAGAAAACAAAUUUAAGAACACCCAAUCACAAACAGCCAACUAGGUUUUCUCAUAUAAGGCAACUACUUAAACUAUAGCCCAUCAAAUAUUUUCCUUUGUCUUGCUUCUGCAACUGCUGUAAAAAGCCCUUCCCUGGGGCACCUGGGUGGCUCUAUUGGUUGAGCGUCUGACUUUGGCUCAGGUCAUGGUCUCACAGUUUGUGGGUUCGAUCCCUGCAUUGGGCUCUGAAGUCUGUUAUUCAGUCUAAUCUAGCUGGAGCACAUAGGGAUCUGAUGUUUGCUGCGGGUUUAGAGGCAAGAAAAUGGGAAUGAGUGGCACAUGAAGAGAAUUGGUAUUUGGUUGUAAAGUACCUGCUUCAGCAUAGCUGUCUCAGCCACAGUGAUGUAGUGACAGCCACAGUCCCCAGAACUGUGAGUGACAGGAAGAGUUUCCUGAAUUCUGGAUUACAGUGUCAGGGUGUGACUCUUAAUUCAAAAAUUCAGUUACAGCUUCUGCCCCUCUACUUCAUCCAAUGGGUUUGUAAAAACACCUCCCCUUCGGAGUAAAUCCUUUGCUGCUUGAAAUAUCUAGGUGGGUGUCUAUUUUCUGCACUGAACUCUGAUAGGCCUUUGAAUCCAAUACAGAGUUAUGACCUAUGGCAGCUAAUAGCAAUAUUCUGACAGGUCUUAAGUUUGGAAUCCCAGCUCUAACACUUAAUGGCUGUGUGAUCUCAUAUCAGUUUUAUUUUUUAAUAUGCCUCAGUUUUCUUGCCUGUAAAUGAGAGUUAUAAUAUUGCCUACCUGCUGUCACCCAGGGGUUUCUUUCUUACUUUUUUUUUUUUUAGUUAAAUGAAUGACUACAUGUAAUUAGUAAAUGUCUGGAACAUAUCUUUACUAUUAUAUAGAACAUCACACCCCAAAAAUAUAGCAAAUAAUUUAUUUUAAUAAGAAAAAGUCACACAGGAAAUCAUAAAACUUUAUCAUUUGUAUCAGUCUAGUAAUUUAAAAGAAAGGAUUUAUAUUAAAAAAAGUUCAUGUUUAUUUAUCUUGAGAGAGAAAGGGAGAGAAUGAGCAGGGGAGGGGCAGAGAGAGAGGAAGAGAGAAUCCCGAGCAGACUCUGCACUGAAUGAGCCAACCAGGUGCCCCAAAAGAAAGGAUUUAUAUUUCAAAAGGAGACAAUUUUAACAUAAGUAAUUUUUUUGUCUAGUUAACUGAAAAGGCAGAGAAGAACAGUAUCAUGAGGAGGCAGCUCUCACCCCUAGCUUUAGGAAAACAAAGUGAAGACAUGGAAAUUAAUUAAAAUUAGAAACUUGGAGGGCCCCCACAGAGCUGGAACCCUGGUCUCUGAGGAAGGCAUGACUGGCUUUGCAAGAGUCUCUACAGGCAGUAUGUUGAGGCUGAUUCUAAAAGUAUUGGGGAAAAUAUAAAAUGGAUGCAAACACUGAUGCAGACUGGGACACACUUCCUUUGUUGGAAAUGUUUUUAAAGAGCAAAGACAAGAUGAUGCUUAUAGGAGCAGGAAGCAAACAGGAAGCAAGCACAAGGCAACAGGAUGGAACCAGUUUCUUUUCUGUGUCCUAAAGCUCUGACUGUCUCUCUCUAGUGCCAGAUACCAGCUAGACAAGAGGAAGCCAGCCCACAGCAGCGAUGUGAUGUGGAAACUUUCAGCCAUAAUAUCUCAAAAUGAAUAUGGAAGGAUAGGUAUGGAGCUGACAGAGAAUAGAUUAAUCAAUGACUAGCGAAUCUACCUAAACUACUCAGCAUCCGUAUUUAAACUUGAGAUAGGAAAUUGAAAUUCCCUAUUUCCCCCCAACACAAUGUCACUAUCCUUCAUACAGAUGGAGAUGCACUUGAGCUUUCCCAAACGGGAAGGGAAGCAAAAUUCCAACACCCAUUGUCCUCAUCUCUGGAAGACAGCUGCACUGUCCCUUUCUGUGCUAUGUUAAUUAGUCGUGAAAAUUCACUCAUGGGUCCAACUAACUAUUGUAUUACUUAAAGACAACUUUUUCUUUUUUUAAGUUUAUUUAGUUGGAGAGAGAGAGAGAGGGAGAGCACAAGUGGGGGAGGAACAGAGAGAGAGAGAAUCCCAAGAAGGCUCAGCACCUUCAGCACAGAGCCUGUGAGUUUGAUGUGGGUCUUGAACUCGCGAACUGUGAGAGCAUGACCUGAGCCGAAAUCAAGAGUCGGAUACUUAACCAACGAGCCACCCAGGCACCCCGUAUUACUUAAAGACAACCGUUACACAAAAUUUUUAUACAAUACUAAAGAGAAGGAGGAGAUAGUGCCAUGGGGAGAAUCCUCUCAAAGGGAAAAAGGCACAGUGCUCCAUAUAUAUAUAUAUAUUUUUUUUUUUUUACAACUUAUUACAAAAAGAGUCAUGAUGUUUGGUAGGCUUUUUCAUUUUUGCAGGCAACAUUCUACCCAUCUGAACACAUUUCUUGAAUUUGCUCACCAAGUAAAAUGACAUUUUUGGAUCUGACAGUUAUUUGUGUUGAAAAUAAUAUUUUAAAAAUGGGUUAUAAUUGAGUAUAUUUUACCUAGCAUUUUCUAGAAUGUAAGGAGAUAGUUACAUUUCCAAAAUUGUCAGAUCAUUCUAGCAUCUCUCAUACAUUCUCCAAAUAUGCUCACUUUCUUCUCUUCCUAUUUUUAUACAGUUAAUUUUUUAUCCAAUAAACAUUAUUUUCCAUACCCUUCAAUGAACCUUCAUGAUGUCUAAACAUAUUUAACUUGAUAUUGUUACUGAUCAUAACAAUGCGUGUUUGAUCUUUCAGUACUUCUGAAUAAAGGAACUCUUGGCUUCUAAUUGAAAUGUAAAUAAUAGAUAUUUAAAUACAUUAGUGUAUUAUUAUCCUUUUUUAAAUUCCUUUUAUGCACCUCUUCUCCCUUCAUCAUCUACAGGCAUUUUUUUUCACGACAGAUUUUAAUUGUUAUAUGAAGGAUGCCAACAGGAAGAUGGAGUCACCAUUUAGCAUUUGAUGUCAAAAUGGGAUUUUUGAGUCAAUAACAUAAAAAUAAACUUGAACGACAAGUUUGUUGAGAAGAGGAUUUCAUUAACAUAUCUGGGGCCAAGCUAUGUUGAUCCGAUCAUAGGAUUUUAUCAUAAGCCAAGAAUAGAACAAAAUCAGAAUAAAGUGGGGGCAGUUCUUGUCAUACAGGGAGGAGAGAGAGAGAGAGACAGAGACAGAGACAGAGACAGAGACAGAGACCAUGCCUGAUUGACCUUGAAUGGGGGGAAGAAGGCCACAGCCAUCAUGGAAGUAAAGGUCUGUAUCCUGUGUUCUAUGUCCUCACGUCCCCUUUUCCAGACUAGUGGUCCAAGCAUCAUGGGGGGUAUGUAUUAGACAUGUUCUGGAGAAAGUAGGAAACAGAAUAACUUUCACCAUGUUUUCUAUUCAGAACCUUGGUAUAACACACACCGGCUGACCCUUCUCCACCAUAAGGGGAAAUAAGGCAAUUGGUGGAGAGCUGAGUGCAAAGAGCUAAGGUACAUUUACUGGCUAUGCAUAACAAAGGCUGAUACAAGGAUCUCACAGGACUGGGAAAGCCAUGCCCCAUGCCUUAAGGACUGCCAUGUUUUCCCCUAUAUCCUGAUUUCAUUUUCAAGAGGAAAGCAAAAGAAAGAAAGAUCCCUGUGGUAAUUUUAACUAUGGAUUGAGAGAAUGUUAAUGCAGUACAGAUUUUUAAUUGAAAGACACUGUGCAAAACAAAAAAUAAUAAGCUAUUGUUAAAAUUUCCCUCCAAUCCCAGUGCCUGUUGUCCCUUGUGGAUAGUUUAGAAGAGCUACAGAUAAUAAUGGAUGCUUGCAUUCUUUGGACAUCUGUGUAGUGUAUGUGUGAAUUUAAUUUCACAAUAAUUAUCUAUUGAUUUAAAAGAGCUUGGUGAUAAGGGCUCUAGGCACAUAAUUACAUAUAAUCUAAGUCACAGGCAUUUUGGAGACAGAACUCCAAAUAGAUAAAUGUGGGGAUUAUACUGUUUAAAUAUUUCUUUAAACUAUUUGGCAAUGUUGAUAUUAUAUAGCAAGAAGCGAUUAGUUAUAAUAGUCAAUAGGUUCACUCAUGUAAAAGUGUACAAUUUUCAAUCUUUUGUGAUAUUUGAGGCUAUUUCUACUCAAGAGCAUUCUUAUUGGAUUUACUUCAGAGAAAAACCAAUAAAAAUUACUUUAUUAUUUGUAAAAGACCACUAUUCACAGAAUAAAUGGUUGCAUUUAUAAGUUAUCAGCUAUGACAAAAUCUGUUCUAGUUCGAAAGUUUGAGGAUUUAUUCUAUUUUUUUUUUACAUUGUUUUAUUUUUCAUCCAGCUUACAUAGUUACAUCUUGAUUUAAGCCUAGGCAUUGACUAGCUAUAUUUAAAAUGAGAUAACAUUAUAAAUGGGAUUUUUUUUAAUGUUUAUUUAUUUUUGAGAGAGAAAAAGCAUGAGCUGGGGAGGGUAAGAGAGAGAAGGAGACAAAGAAUCCAAAGCAGGCUCUGGGCUCCAAGCUCUCAGCACAGAGCCUGAAGCAGGCCUCAAAAUCAGGAACUGUGAGAUCAUGACCUGAGCUGAAGUCGGAUGCUUAACUGACUGAGCCACCCAGGUGCCCCAAAAUGAGACAUUGUAAUAUAAACUAUCAUUUUAUAUAAUAAUUGCUGCCAUAUAAUUUAUUUUCCUAUUUUAAUACAGAAUAAUUUGAUUUUAAUGAGUUAUCAUUUUAUUUGCUUCAUACAAUAAUUAAAAGCCUCAGACUGGAACCACAUUCUAUUAAAUAUCUGUUACAACACAUCUGUAGAAAUGUCUGCUCUAUGUGUAUAAAAUUCUCAGGAAACUGGAAACUUAAUAUUCAAGUUUUAUAUAAUUCUGUUAAGACCACUCUUAGAAAAAACAUUAAGGAAAAUUUAUGACUAAGGUACUGAAGUAGCUAACAAAAAUUCUGCCAGUUUAGAAUAUCUGCUGGUUUGGUGCUAUCCAUAGAGUUUUUGUUUUAACGCCAGAAUCAAAGAUUCCUUUUAAAAAAUAAAAUAAAUAGUAUGUCUGGGCCACUGGUUGGCAACUUUUGAUUCAUGGAUUUUGUGCUGCUGGUGUCAUCAAAUGUAAGAAUUUAUGUCUUCACUUUUUUUUAUGUUCCAAUUUUUGCUAAGUAUUUCUUCACGCUUCUUUGAGUUCCAUUUAAUUUAUUACUUUUUUAAUGUUUAUUUAUUUUUGAGAGAGAGAGAGAAAGACAGAGAGCAUGAACAGGGGAGGGGAAGAGAGAGAGGGAGACAGAGAAUCUGAAGCGAGCUCCAGGCUCCGAGCCGUCAGCACAGAGCCCGAUGCGGGGCUUGAACCCACAAACCGUGAGAUCAUGACCUGAGCCUGAGCCAGAUGCUCAACCCAUGGAGCCACCAAGGCGCCCCCUAGUUCCAUUUAAUUUCAACGUAUUAUUUUUUCUCUACCUUUGCUUUGCUUCACUAUUGUUUUUCCAUUUCUGUACUAUUACUUGGUUUGGAAUGGAUCUGUUUCCAAACAGGUGUUUUGUUUUCUGUGUGUACACUAUUUAAUAUGAUAAUAAUUUGCAUUUAUCGAGGACUUAUCAUAGGCCAAGUGUUGUACUAUAACACACACACGCACGCACGCACACACAAUCUCAAUAAAUAUUCUCCCCUUAAAGAGGCUGGUAUUACUAUUACCUUUAUUACAGAAGAGGAAGCUAAGGCAUACACACAGAAAAAGAGUAAAGUAACUUGUCCAAGGUCACAAAGCUAGCAAGUGAAAGAGGUGAGGUUUCAUGACUUGUGGUCUGACUUUGAAGCACAGUUAACAGUAUUCUAGUGAAGGGGCACCUGGGUGGCUCAGCUGCUUAAGCAUCUGACUCUUGGUUUUGGCUCAGGUCAUGAUCUCACAAAUUCAUGAGUUCAAGCCCCCACAUCAAGCAGUAUGGAGCCUGCUUGGGAUUCUUGCUCUCUUUCCCUCUCUCUGUCUCUCUCUCUCUCUCAAAAUAAAUAAAAAUAAACAUUAAAAAAAACAGUAUUCUAGUGAAAAUUCUAUUAGUUGUGAUGGAAAUUUAUCAGAAACUAGCUUAUAAAAGAUGGCAUAAAAUGCAUCAUCUAUAUGAAAAAUCCAGGAGUGUAUUUCCAAACACACUGGAUUUAGAUACUUAACUAACAACAGGGUCCCUCUUGUCACCCUUUGGCUUCAUUCUCUUCCCUCUCAGACUGCCUCCAUGUGGCUAGAAAAAUGGCCACUGGUGGCUGUAGUCUCAUUGGCCUUGGCAGCCAGAGAUCCCAGAGAAAUGAGAGCAUCUUUCCUGGUACUUCUGGCAAUAAUCCUAGGGAGGGUUAUGAUUAGCAUUGUUUGGGUCACAUGCUUAAAGGUGAAUUGUGGUCAGGAUAUUUAAAAAGUUUUUUUAAAUCUUUAUUUAUUUUUGAAAGAGAGACAUAGUGUGAACAGGGGAGGAGCAGAGAGGGAGACACAGAAUCUGAAGCAGCCCCCAGGCUCUGAACUGUCAGCACAGAGCCAGACGUGGGGCUUGAACUCAUGAACCACAAGAUCAUGACCUGAGCUGAAGUCAGAUGCUCAGCUGACUGAGCCACCCAGGCAUCCCAGAAUUGUGGUCAGGAUUUUUAAAGACAGCUGUGAACAAUGGUCAGCCCUAUCUAAACCAUAAAGACUGAACAGGAUUACUGCAGAAGAAGGGUUCGAUAGGGACUAAAGAAGGAUAUUGGGCAGGCCAAAAAAACAAAAACAAAAAACAAAAACAUUCAACAUCCAUUAAUGCACACUGGCAUUAGACUUCAUGAAUUACUAAAUAUAUAAAACACAAAGAAACUACACAAAACUUUAGAAAAAUACCAUUAUCUUCAUUUUUUUCAGAUAACAAAAACAAAGACUGAUACAACUUGGCCAAGUUCACAUCAUGUGUAAGUUAUCACACCUUUUAUAGAUAAUUAUGUAUCCAAAUGCAUUGCUACCUAGAGGAAAAACCUUACAGAAUUCAAAGCCUAGACCUAAACAUUAAGGCAUCAAUCUCACUAUCAAUUUUUUUAAAGAUUAAAUAUAUGUAAAUGGAUGAAAUUAGACAUCAGUCUGAUUUAGUCCUUCAGGAUUUGAUGAUAAUUAAUUUUUAAAAAAAUAUUCUAAUGCCUUAUGCAUCAUUUUACUUGCAUUUCCUGAGGGUAUAGAAUCAGAAUGGAAAAUUUGCUUCAGCUUUAUUCACUUUCUUUAGUUGAAUGAAUGUGAUUGGUUGAAACCAUACUGAAUAAAAUAGGUUCAGAAGUUAUAAGAACUUGAAGCAACAGCAAGUACCUGAUUAACAGUCUAUGUAAAGCAGAAGUGUCAUCAGGGAAAGGAACUUAUUAAUGUUUGUAAAGGUCAUUAUUGCCUAAGGAAGGGGGAAUGACAUUUCAUAUGCAUCUAUAUCCCCAGUGUACAUGCAUUUCAUAUUUCUUUAUUUUUUUAGUCAUCUUAAGUCCAUCUCUAAGCCUCCAUUUGCAGUAGAUAUUAAGAAAUUAAAUCUAAGACAUUACUAGGUUAUGCCCCCUACGUGUGGGUGUCUAAAAUCUAAAGGUUGUGCGCAUCAAGUAUCUCUGUUCCCCUGGAAGCCUCCCCUUGUCGAGGUUGAAACCAUUGUGUCUAGGGUCCAGGCUCUGCGGAGGCUGCUACCUAAGAGGAGUCAAAGGACCCAUAAAUUUUGGUCCCUUUGACACAUUGUGGAAAUAUCAUCUCUCUCUAAUUGGCCUUGAUGGCUUUCCUCUCUUCCACCCUCUCUCCUCACCUGCUGGGACAGCCAAAAUGAUCUCACCCAUGAGCAAGUACUUCUGUAAAAAAUAGGAAUGGCUGUUGUCCGUAAGAUGAUUCUACUUCAAGCUCUGCAGAAAGUCCAGAAACAAGGAAAUACAAACUGCCUGGCUCCCAACUUGAAAUAAGAGGAAGA